rnacentral:lncRNA from 1 species
UUUGAAAGAGUGGAACAGACUUAUCUGGCUGUUAAACUCAGUGUUGUCAAAGGCGCGCUUAAGCGUUGAAGCGAGUCUCAAAACAUGUUGAGCUCUUCGCCUCGCUUUGUGGGCACUUUAGUGUCGCAUCAAGGCUCUAAAGCAUACUUUUCCUAGCCAAUGAAUGUAAUCCUAAUAAGGCGACAUUAAACAAUUGUUAUUUCACUUAAUCGUAAAAAAAAUUCGAUUUCUUUGUCCAUAUAUUUGUUAUUCAUGCUUAUAAUUAUUAAUUUUGGACUACAUAUACAUAUUUUUACUUUUUCCCCAGUUGGCGCCUUUUUUAUUAAAGCCCACGCUUUAUUUGCACUUUUUUUUGAUAACACUGGUUAAACUUACUUUUCAAGUGAAGGGAUGCAUGUAUAAAGAAAAGUUUUCCAUGGUUCUGUGACCUCUCUGGUUAGGUGUUCCGUUAACCUUGAGAGCUUUGGUAUACAUGUUCUUUGUUGGAAGUAAAGACUUGAACCAUUGAAAGUCAGGCAUACUUCUAUUGCACUCUGGUGUGGACCUUUUACCUGAAAAUAUGAAAAUAAUGCAUUGAGGUGUUUCGUGCAUUAAUAGAAAAAAAUAACUUAUGCAAGUCACCGUUCAACUUUUUUGAUUAGGAGUGACCGGCUUACUUAAUUUUUUUUGUUAACUUGGUGUCCGGACCACCUUGCGGGCACCUCGACUAGUUCCAUCGAAUACCUGCUACCUCUCACCAGCAAUAGGUGCUAGGUAACUCUAUCCAAUAAGGUUUUGACAAAUGAGAAGAAAUCACCUAGUGUUUUUGUUUCCGAGAUCUUAGGUUCUCAACCCACUUCAUUGACCUCUAGGCAACGCUCAAGAACAUCUUUGGGCGUGAAUCACCAAGUUUAGUUUUGUAAUAUAAUAUUCAAGUAAUGCACUGAGGUCUGGGUCUGAUCCUGUCACAUAAACUUACUCAGCCUUUACCUUUACCUUUUUGGCAUUUUGGAGAAAAAGAAGUACUUUAGUCCUUGUAAGUCUUCUUUACUGUGUAAACUCGCUCAUAUUUGUGGCUCCUUUGCAAUGUGGAGACACAUAAUAUCAACAGUGUUUCAUUCUCUUUAAUCUGUAUUUCAAGUGCAUAGUGUAAGUUUGGUGUUUGCUAGCUUUUAACUAAUAUAUAUUCAUAUAAUAGCAUUAAUUCUUUUGAUUCUUGACCCUCAGUGAUUACGAAUCCCAAGUAGCUAAACUAUUUGUUAACUUUUGUGUAGGUGUGUAGUGUUUAGUGCGCCUUGAUGAAUAAUUUUUUUUUUGGUAAUUAAUGAAUUUUAUUUACCAAUUGUAAUAUGUACAGCAUACAAAAAAAAAAAAAAAAAAAACUCAGCACGAUUUGGACAUGAAGCCCCAAAUUUUUUUUUGGUAAUUAAAGAAUUUUAUUUACCAAUUGUAAUAUGUACAGCAUAAAAAAAAAAAAAAAAAAAAAUCUCAGCACGAUUUGGACAUGAAGCCCCAAAUCUGUGUACAGCAUCAUAGCCUAUCAAACUAGAGGGAAAAAGCUAACAUAUUACACUUUGAUGAUUAAAUAUUUUAUUAAAGAAAAUUGUUCCAAGUAGCGGAAUAUCUGUAAUGCCCCCAACAGAACAGUAAAGAAGCACAUCAUUUAUCAAAAAAUUACUAGAGGAGCAUAUUAGCGAGAUCAGAGUUACCAAUUUAUCUGCCGAAGAAUAGUAUCUGUUGCUCUACCUAAUUUUCUCUCUUGCUAUUUUAUUCGAGUAGGUCUACACAAAUUCUUUGCAGAGUACCUUGUUGGCUGGUAACAUUCAUCCUGGUCGAGAGUCAGAGCUUUCGUAUUCCCCUUAUCCAACAACACAAGCAAUGCCAACAAAAUAUGGCAACUCAGUUUCAUCAAUCAGUGGCUCAACAAUUUCCAUGCCUGAGGUAAUGCAUCUGGUUGUAUCCAAUAGAUAUUUCACAGUAUACUUUAUCGUCCAUCCAAUUUUUUCUCCCUUAGCUCUUGUUGCGAUGGUGCGUCAUAGUUGAUUGUGUUAAAGUGUUUCCUCAGGCUUUGAAGACGGUUGGUUUUUCAUCAGCACAGCCUACUCAGCAGCAGAUGCUUUCUGGAACUAGCGUCGCCUCCGGACCUGCCAUACCGCAACAUCUAACUGUACACCCAUAUGCUCAACAAACUGUUCCACUAGGACCAUUUGCCAACAUGAUUAGUUAUCCCUUUAUGCAUCAGAACUAUCCAUAUAUGCUGUCUGCCUUCCAACAAACAUUUCCUGGUAACAGCACUUAUCACCAGUCGCUUGCGGCAAUGCUCCCCCAAUAUAAGAAUUGUGCUUCUGUCGACAGCUUGCCGCAGUCUGCCAGUAUUCCUUCUGGAUAUGGUGCUUUUGGAAAUACAGCUGCUAUCCCGGGGAACUUCCCAAUCAACCCCGCUGCUGCUCCUUCUGGCACCAACUUAAGUUACGAUGACGUAUUGAGCUCUCAGUACAAGGAUACCAAUCAUUUGAUGUCUCUUCAGCAGGUAACCUUUUUUUUUACAAGCACAGCUAUUCCUAUUGAACCCCCUCCCCUAGCUACCUUGUGUCUUUUUGGCGGUGUGUAAUGAGUAACUAAUAUUGUGAAAGCGUGUAAAAUUCCUUUUCUUGCAAGCAUAGAAGAAAAGUAGACAAUAAAUAUUGAAAAAAAGAGAGAAAAAAGUCAUACUUACCUCUGUACUUUUUUAAAAGGUUUACAUUUACCCUCCUUUUACAGUUUGACUCGCAAGUGUCCUUGCCUUUAAUCUUUUGGUUUACAAAUAUCCUUACUUACUAACAGGGUUAUCACUAAUUAGUCCCAAAAAUUUCUUAUUAGGACCUGAGUUGGCCACGUGGCCUUUUUUGAAUUUUGUUUGGUUAAUUACAUUUAUCAAGUUCUACCGUGGGUGGUUGGCACAUAACUUAGAAAUGCAGUGUAAUUUCACUGGCUCUAUUUGUGCUGUCUUUCAGUACUGCGUAUCACCCUCCUUUAUUUGACGACACUCUUUCAUUUCAGAGUGAGAAUUCAGCUUUGUGGCAUCAUGGACUUGGUUCAAGAACAAUGUCAGCUGUUCCUGCCAACACGUACUAUGGCUUUCAGGGACAAAAUCAGCAAACGGCUGGUGGAUUUAGGCAAGGUCAGCAGCCGUCACAGAGCUAUGGAUCUUUGGCCGGCUACCCACAUUUCUACAAUUCUCAGGCUGGUAUCUCAUUGGAUCAACAACAGCAACAAAACUUUCGGGAUGCAGCAUCGUUGGCUGGCUCACAAGGUCAGCCAAAGCAGUCUCAACAACAGAUAUGGCAAAAUGGCUACUAAUCUUACUGCCUCCUUGUUUUUUCGGGGUCUUGUAAUGAGUGUUAAAAGUGGCCUUUCAAGCUAUUUCUGUGGAAAUAACCAUCGUUCAUGAUCCCCGAAGGGACUUGAUCGGCUGCUCCCUGUGCUAUGAGGCUGUACUUUACGUGUUUAUCCUCCGAGUUAAAUGUAACGUAGGAAUGACUGAGCUAAUGCAGUGCUAGUUGGCGCGUUUGUGUUCUCUUAACUCAUGUUACACUGUUAACCCCCUUUCUCUGUUUUCUCAUCUAUAAUUAGAAGAUGUGUUCUGUUUCCCACUAGUAAUCUAUUACCAUCUGGUUUCUCCUUUGCUGUCCAGUAAAUUUUUGCGCAUAAAUGGGAUGAAAUAUUGGGAAGGUUAAUGUGGUUGUACUGAUCUUUAUAUAGUACAAUCAGUUCUCUCUAUAACAACAUUUUUAUAUAAUAACUAUUCACGGUAAAACCCAAGUUUUAUAAUCUAAACUAAAAUUGUUUGCAGAAUUAGGUGACCAAAAUUGAGUAAAGGGUACUGCUAUGUGAAGAAAGAUACUAUAUCAAUGCUAGAUGGGAUAUGUUCGAUGUACAUUCAAAUCUCUCUAUAACAACCUCGUUUGUUCCGAAUAUUUUUGGAAGUUAUAACGAAGUGUUGUUAUAUUGAACAUACAUUAUAAUAUUUCGUGAAAAUUGGUUCCGGAAAAGUUUGGUUUUAAUAAGGAAGUGUUAUUAUGUAGAGAUACUGUCAUAGAGAGGUCCGACAGUAUUGAUGAUUGAGAAAUAUAUAUACAAUCAUGUCAUUUUUAAGAUAAUAAUUGGAAAAUCUCUUGAUAAGCCUUAAUUAGUAACCUGGUAAAAUGAUGAUUAACCUUUACCACGUGAUAAAAUUUACUGAUAGAUCAAAACAAACAAAGAACUGUUCUUUGGACAUUCUUUUGUUCUGUAUUUUCACUACCAUUUUAAGUACUUUGAAAUCAUCAGGAAGUAUGACAUUAAAGAUUGGAAGUGCCAGAAAGAAUAUGAAAAGAUUCACAUGUUCUUCAUUAAUUAAUCCAAACCAAUUUACACCACAUUAAAAUCUCUUUAAUGAACCCAUAACCCAGAAUGCUAAAAAUAAACUCUGACCCUUCUUUGGGUUCAUCACUCACAAGCUACAUAUUCAGUCUCACACUAAAAGAUUAGCGAUCAACUUUUGUUAACUCACUUUCCAGGGACAAAGUUUGUGGCGUAGGCCCAGGCGUUGUUGUUAACUGGGUCUGCAAGAUGGUCAGCAAGGUUUUCCAGUGGACCUUUUCCUGUAACGAUAGCCUGAACAAAGAAUCCAAACAUGGAAAACAUGGCAAGUCUGCCAUUCUUGAUCUCCUUUACCUUGAGCUCAGCAAAAGCCUCUGGGUCUUCAGCGAGGCCCAAUGGGUCGAAGCUGCCACCGGGGUAGAGUGGGUCAACAACCUCACCGAGAGGUCCACCAGCAACACGGUAACCCUCAACGGCUCCCAUCAACACAACUUGGCAAGCCCAAAUGGCCAAGAUGCUUUGUGCGUGGACCAAACUUGGGUUACCCAAGUAGUCAAGUCCACCCUCGCUGAAAAUUUGGGAUCCAGCCUUGAACCAUACAGCUUCACCGAACUUGACACCAUUACGUGCCAAGAGCUCAGGGAAGACGCAACCAAGAGCUCCAAGCAUAGCCCAUCUACAGUGAAUCACCUCCAACUCUCGGUUCUUGGCAAAAUAUUUGGGAUCCAGCCUUGAACCAUACAGCCUCACCAAACUUGACACCGUUACGGGCCAAGAGUUCGGGGAAGACACAUCCAAGAGCUCCAAGCAUGGCCCAUCUGCAGUGGAUCACCUCCAACUCACGGUUCUUGGCAAAAGUUUCUGGAUCAGCUGAAAGUCCGGCAGUGUCCCAUCCGUAGUCACCAGGAAACUCACCAGUCAAGUAGCUUGGAGACUCACCAGAGAAAGGGCCCAAGUACUUGACGCGGUCAGGACCGUACCAUGGGCUACCGGAAGAGGUAGGCUUGGCCUUGCUAGCAGUCUUCCUCAUGGUAACUUUCCCAUUUCCGGUGAUUUCAGAGGAAGACGGUAGAAGAGGCAGGCUUGGCCUUGCUAGCAGUCUUCCUCAUGGUAACUUUUCCAUUUCCGGUGAUUUCAGGGGAAGAUGGUGAGAGUUUUACUGCCUUUCCGGCAAAAGAAGAGGAGAGAGCCAUUGUAGAAGCAGCCAUUGUUUAAUAAGGAGAUUGAAGUGUUUUUUUGAUGGCUGAAGUGAUAAAGAAAUGAGAUGUUGUGUAGUAUAAUUGGGCUUUACUAUAUAAUGGGAGGGAGGGAAAGAGUUCUUAUCUUAUGAUAUCUCUAUCUACAAUUUCAUUGGAUUUCAAGAUUUCACUAGCAUUAGUUCUUGUCGACUUGGCAUGUUGUAUUCCAUCAAUUUUCCAAGAUUUUUACUACUGUGGCCCAACCAAAAUAUGUGGCUUUAAAUUGCAAACUUUUCAUCAUGCAUGUAUCACUUUGAAGUCUGGAAAAUAAAAUAUUGAAACUUAUAAAAUUUCUGAAUUUAAUCCCUAUACAAGUACACAUACUUUAAGUUUAUAAAGCCACAACUAAAAUAAGACUUUUAAUUUGUGAAGGGCAGUUAGGUGUACUAAGCUCCCGUUGUGCGCGGAUCCGAGGAAGGAUCCGACAACAAGGGUCUAUUAUACUUAACUUUAACUGCAAGAUGCCUUUUCCACAGCUUCAACUGUUAGUUAUUACAUUAAUUGUGGUCCAAAAUUUAGAUGACCAAGAUUUAAAGGAGAAUAAAAGUGGUCUAUCGAAUAGUUUAAGGGUAAUUUUGGCACUUUACUGUUAGUUAAAGGCAUCACCACCAAGAACCUAUACAUAUAUGUGUAUUCAUUCAAAUUGGGACAAUUUUUUGAUGUAGCCUAUAGGUGAUUAUAGCCUCACCCCUACCGCACUACUUAACCCCUACCCACCCUCAAGACCCCCCAUGCCNNNNNNNNNNNNNNNNNNNNNNNNNNNNNNNNNNNNNNNNNNNNNNNNNNNNNNNNNNNNNNNNNNNNNNNNNNNNNNNNNNNNNNNNNNNNNNNNNNNNNNNNNNNNNNNNNNNNNNNNNNNCCAUGCCCCCACCCCCACCCCCAAAAAAAAAAUCAAAAGCAAUUUUUACUUCAUUUCAAAUGCAAAAAAGUUUCAAUUGAACCACCAAAAAAUUUUGAUGGAAUGAUAAGUACGUUUUCAUUCAUCCCAAUAAGAGGUCUAGGGUUCAAACACUAGGUAUAGAAUCGCGUUAUUCUAAAAUGAGAUAUUUCAGCACGGAUUAGUUGAAUAGCAAAAUGGAUGUCGAAUACCGAGUGGAAAAAAAAAAGACGUUCAAUUGAAGCAUCAAAGUUUUUCUUGUCUCAUUGUCAAUUAACCACUCAUAGAAGUGGUCCAAAUGUGCAGAAUUGUGUGAACAAUGCAUGACAAUUAGUUACCUCUAGCCAAGUGGAUAUUAUAUUGCAAUAAUCCAUAAUCAGACGUGGCAGCUCCGGAUUGGCUAUAAGAGAGGAAAUCUGUAUUGGGUUAGAUUUUUUAAGCUGUAUCUAAAAAUAUCUAGUCAUUGUUAACAGUGCAGAACUUUGCCAAAUGGACAACAAAGCAAAAGGCUACAAAUUGCAUCCACCAAUCAAAAAGCAGAUACUGAUAUUCAUGGAUAAGUAUUCUGGGCAAUUUUGAGUCAUUUAUAUACAGAUGGUGCAAGUCCAUUAAACUCAUCAAGCCACAAAUCAAAUAUUCUUUCUCUGUAGUAGCUGCAUUCAAGAGUUUUUCAUUUUAUUUCUACAAUGGCAGCUGCUACAAUGGCUCUUUCUUCCCCUUCUUUUUCCGGAAAGGCGGUGAAACUCUCACCGUCUUCCUCUAAAAGCACCGGAAAUGGGAAAGUUACCAUGAGGAAGACCGCUAGCAAAGCCAAGCCAGCCUCUUCUGGUAGCCCAUGGUCCUAACCGUGUCAAGUACUUGGGCCCAUUCUCCGGUGAGUCCUCAAGCUACUUGACUGGUGAGUUUCCUGGUGAUUACUGAUGGGACACUGCUGUACUUUCAGCUUAUCCAGAAACAUUUGCUAAGAAUCGUGAGUUGGAGGUGAUCCAUUGUAGAUGGGCCAUGCUUGGAGCUCUUGGUUGUGUUUUCCUGAGCUCUUGGCUUGUAACGGUGUCAAGUUCGUUGAAGCUGUAUUGUUCAAGGCUGGAUCACAGAUUUUCAGCGAGGGAGGGCUUGACUACUCAAGUUUGGUCCACGCACAAAGCAUCUUGGCCAUUUGGGCUUGCCAAGUUGUGUUGAUGGGAGCCGUUGAGGGUUACCGUGUUGCUGGUGGACCUCUCGGUGAGGUUGUUGACCCACUUUACCCUGGUGGUAGUUUCGACCCAUUAGGUCUUGCUGAAGAUCCAGAGGCUUUUGCUGAGCUCAAGGUAAAGGAGAUCAAGAAUGGUAGACUUGCUAUGUUCUCCAUGUUUGGAUUCUUCGUCCAAGCUAUCGUCGCCGGAAAGGGUCCGUUGGAAAACCUUGCGGACCACCUUGCAGACCCAGUUAACAACAAUGCCUGGGCUUAUGCCACAAACUUUGUUCCCGGAAAGUGAAUUUAACAAUAGUUGAUCUCUAAUUUUCAAGUAGUGUGACACUGUACGUAGUAAUGAAAGGUGGCAGCUUCGACCCAUUAGGCCUUGCCGAAGACCCAGAGGCUUUUGCCGAACUCAAAGUAAAAGAGAUCAAGAACGGCAGACUUGCUAUGUUCUCCAUGUUUGGAUUCUUUGUUCAGGCUAUCGUUACCAGAAAGGGUCCAUUGGAGAACCUUGCCGACCACCUUGAAAGUGAAGUUCUUAACUAAGAAUCUCUUCUAGUAGUUGAUUGGUUGAUAGCCCGUAAAGCUAGCUAAUGUAAAUUACAGGAGAAAAUAUAUGGAUUUUUAUUUGGUUUCCCAUAAUUGUUUAGUUUCAUAUAUUUUUAGACCUUCAUUUUAAAACAGCAGAAUCAGAUUCAACUGCCAGGUUGUAUGUAGUUGCAUAUUAAUCUAUCAGAAAGGCAUGUCCAAUCCAUAAGUCAUUACAAAAUUGUAUCUUGUGUGCCAAUUUCCAAUUUAAGCUAUGCUAUGUUGCUUGGACUCUUAAAAAACGCCACAAGAGUGCAUAUCACAUCUUUCAAAAGUUGUAUAUUUUUGGAGGAUCCGACAGCGAUAAUCCGAGAAACAUAGAAGCUAUGUAACAUUAUGGUCAUAGGCAAUUCACAGUUUUGAACAGGUAAUUCACGGUUUCUUGGUUAUUCCUCACCAAGAUAUUUUGACAAAUUAAAGGAAUUUGAAGAUAGAUUUAUCAAUAUGGUUUGGAGGUUGAAUUCAACCAACUGGUAUUCCACCUUACAUAAUAGUCAGGCUUAUGGUUUUCGUUCAAUCGUUAAUAGAGGAGUCAAGCAAGGUGAUCCAUUAUCCCCGUCUUUUCCUAUUGUCAAAAGUGGUAUUGCCGAGAAGCUUAAAUGCACUGUGUAAUAAUUUUUUUUAUUUUUUUUAUUUUAUGACUUGCAAUGCCAGAAUGGAGCUCCAAAAUAAAUCAAGAGUUUGGCUUUUUUUUCUUCUCAUGCAGGUCUUAAUGUUGAUGGAUUGCAACUACAGCUGGCUAUAAUAAAAUAAACAGGCUGAUAUAUCAACGCGAAUUUAUGAUUAUAUCUACUUUUUCGUAUGUAUUAGUACAUGUUAAUUUAAUAAAUAAAAAUUUUUAUGAAUUUUGGUUGGCCUAAAAUUUUGUAGGUCCAUAGAAAACGGCCUAGUGACCAAUACUCAUCACUUCGCCAGGACUUUCGAGUUUUCAUUUAUUGCAGGUUAUGCAAUGAAUUUGUAACUAUAUCUACCCUUUUUUGUGUGUAUAAAACAUGUUAAUUUUAUAGAAUUUUUUUGACGGACUCUUUUUUUUGGUAAUUAAACUCUUUUUUUUGGUAACAUAUACAAAACUGAGUAGACCAUCUCAGUCUGCUCUACAAGAUAAAAGAAAAUAUCCAAAAAACAUUCUACAUUCUCUGCUUCGCUAUACACAUUCUAGUCUCUACCUGUUAAUGACUAAUAUUUAUAAUUGCUGAGCAACACUCGCGUAUAGCCUUCAGCUCUCAAGUUGCACAUGCAAGCCACCCUCCUAGCUAGGAUCUCCCAUGCAGUAGUUUGCUUCUUAAAGAUCCGUGAAUUUUUCUCAAUCCACAGUGCAUUAAUAUACUCCGCAUAGACAAGCUUAAGUACUAUUGCCAUCUGAGAUCUGCCCUUAGUUUUCAUAACUAUCUGUUGGUGAUUUGCUGCCCAUGAGUCUACAGGAGGAUAUUGAAUUUGCAGCCAGUGCAUGAGUAUGUGCCAUAGCCAUUUACCAUAUUAGCAUUCAACAAACAAAUGAUCUCGCGUCUCUGGUUUUUUAUGGCAGAAACAACAAGUGUCAUCUAUUUGCAUUCCCCACUUCUUCAACCUAUCAGUUGUUAACAUUCUUCCUUGCACCUGAAGCCACAUGGUGAAGAUGGAUUUUGGUGUUUUUUUUAUUUUGACACAUCAAUCCUUUCCAUGGAACUUUUGAAAGUACACCUAGUAGUUGCAAGUACAACAGGUUUGCUUUGAUACUCCCAUGUGCAUGAACUCCUGCUCUUCUAUAUAGUAUCAAUGAUCCAUCUAAUCCAUAACUUUGUCCUUCUUGUUAGCCAACUCCCAACAGGUCCUAGUGAUAGCAACUUUGUUCCACAUGGCCAAGUUAAUCAUGUUCAGUCCUCCAGCAGCUCUUGGAGAACACAUCCCAUCACAUGCCACCAAAGACUUUUUGGUUAUUGUAUUCACCCUAGACCAUAUAUAGCUUCUCCAAUGUGCUUCAAUUAAUUUGAUCACUUUAGCAGGUAUAAUGAAGAUUUAAGCCCAGUAAGCUUGAAUGUCAAAAAAUACUAUUUGGACUAGCUGUAUUCUGCCUGCAUAAGAUAGUUUCUUUGCUGUCCAUGAAGAAAUUCUGUUCAAAAUUUUGUCAAUGAGAGGUUGCGAUUGCAAUAUUGAAAACAUCUUAGUAUCAAAAGGUAUGCCCAGAUAUUUGAAAGGCAAUACUCCUUGACUGUACCCUAGGGCUUGUUGAAUCUCAUGCUUCAGUUUAUUGCUAACUUCUCUAUAAUAUAUUGAGCUUUUGGAUAGAUUUGCUUUAAGCGCAGAAGCUUCUAAAAAUGUGUUGAACUUUUGGUGGAAUAGGAAAACAGAAGUAAUAUCUCCUCUUGUGAAAAGGAGAAGGUCAUCAGCAAAGAUUAAAUGAGUUAGGUUCAAUCUAUAACACAUAGGAUGAUAGUGGAAAGUUUUCUUAUGCUUAAGUGUCUUUAGGUUCCUGCUCAGAUACUCUAUUGCUAUGGCAAAGAGAAAUAGAGGCAUAGAUCUCCUUGCCUAAGGCUUCUAGCUGCAUCAAUCAGCUUAGUAGUCUCCCCAUUGAUGAGAAUGGUAUGAUUCACUGUUGCCACACACUCUAGGAUCCAAUUGUUAAAUUGAACUAAAAAUCCCAGACAUUCCAAAACAUGAUGCAAGUACCUCCAGUCAGCUGUAUCAUAAGCUUUCUGAAUGUCCACUUUGAUGAGGCAUCUUGAAGAAAUAUUCUUCCUUGAGUAAGCCUUGACUAACUCAUAGGCCAGUAGAACACUACUCUCCUGCCAGGAAUGAAGCCAGCUUGGGUGUCUAACACAACUGAAGCAAUAACUUUUUGCAGCAUGUUUGCAACAAUUUUGGCAAUUAGUUUGUACAGAACAGUGCAACAAACUAUAGGUCUAUAUUCCUUGAUUCUUUUAGGAUGAGGAACCUUAGGUGUUGGAGUGAUGGUUGUGCAAUUAAUUGCUCUUAAAAGCUUGCCUGAAUGAAGGAAUUCUUUCACUGCAUGACACACUUCUGGUCUGAUAAGUGUCCAAGUUCUUUUGAAAAAUAAUGCAUUAUCGCCAUCAACACCUAGUGAUUUGUCAUCUCUGAUUGCACACACAGCUUCAAAUAUUUCUUGGUCAGUGACCAUAGCACAAAGGCUCACCUGCUGGGAGUGUGUGAGGAUAGGUCCCAAUUUCAUUAUCUCUUUGUUCACUGCAGGCAAGAGAGCUGAUCAUGAUCCCAUAAGGGAUUUGUAGAAGGCAAUUAUUUCUUGUUGGAUCUGCUUCUGGUCAGUGAGUCUACCUUCAAAGGCAUUAUUUAAUUCUGUAAUAGCUUUCCUAUGACUUCUUUCCUUCAUGACAACUGAGAAAUAUUUGGUGUUAGAAUCACCAAGUUUUAUCCACUUAGCUCUGGAUUUCUGCUAGAGGAUGCUUUCCUCUAUUAGUGACCAUCUUUCUAGAUCUUCAAGUAACAUUUUCUCUUCUAAUGCAACUGUAUCAAAGUAGCCCUUGUCCAACCGCUCUUGAAUAUCCUGCAGUCUGUAUCUGAGAUGUUCUAUCUUAGUUGUUACUCCUAUGAACUUAGUGUUAAUAAGUUGCUUCAGUUCUGACCUAAGAGCCUUCAACUUGUACCAGAUAUCUUUCAUGGUGUCUGAAUGUAGUUGUGUCUGCCAAACUCCCCUAACCACUGAUAAGAAAUCCUCAUGAUCAGCCCAAACAUUGAAGAAAUUAAAUGGGAUCUUGCCACUGGAUUCAGCUCUUCUUAAACUGAUCAUCAUGGGAGCAUGAUUUGAGAUAAAAGGCAUUUUGUAUUCCACCUCCAUAUGACCAAAAGUAUUGAUCCAUUCAUCAUUCCCAAUAGCUCUAUCAAUCUUGCUGAAAACUCGACCUGCACCUUGUUGUUUAUUAGACCAUGUAUAGUUCACCCUUUCAAGGUAAUUCACAUAAGUUCAAACAUUGCAUACAGGCUGUGAAGUAUUGAAUCUCAUUGUUACUGGAUUCCCAUGGAGUCUGUCUAGUCAUUUAACACUAAGUUAAAAUCUCCACAAAUGAGCCAAGGCUUGGUGAUCUCUGCUGUGAGGUUUUGCAGAUGGCCCCACAGAGGCUUUCUCAGCUCAAUCCUAUUAAACCCGUGUAUGACUGUCAUGAGAUAGUUCAUUUGGUUCUUCCUUCCUCUAACAUCACAAUGCAUAGCAUAAGCAGACUGAUCUAUCACUAUUAUAUCAUAGUAGGAAGGAUCGCAUAAACCCAGACUCUUCCAUUAGCAGCACCUUCAUAGUUAAAUCUUGCUUGCCAUCCUGGCUCUACCCUAUUAGAAAUGCUAUCUGCCUUUUCUUUUUUGACUCUAGUUUCUACUAAACCAACUAGUUUAAUAGUAUUCUCUUUAAUAUAGGUACCCAGCUCUUUUUGCUUAUAAAAUUUGUUGGUACCCCGUACCUCUAAUGUUCCAAACCAAUCAAGACAUUAAGUAGGUUUAGAUGUACCACCUGCGGAUGGUAGUGAAAAAUUAGCCAUCACAAAUACAUUUGUCUGUUGAUUAGGGCUUUGCUUACCAGGUGAUACAACUCCUUGUGCAUAGUUCAGAGGCAUGCCAUUUAAUUCAGCUGCUUUCUUCCCUUUAUCAAGAGAUUGUUACUGGCCUUCUGUAGGUAUUGGUUCUGCUACUGUACUCUCAUCAGCACAAGUAGUGAUCCCUUGUUCAUUCAUCAUCACUGUCUGCCCCUGGUUAGUUUUGUGUGCAGGAGCUAACACAACUCCUGUACUCUUCCACACCUGCUUCACAGGCUGUGGGCUAUUUCUUUUGGGCUACUGAACUUGUUUAACAUCCUCCUUGCAAGAUUUUGUAUAAUCAUGAAUAAUUUUAAGCAGUUCCCACAGAAUACAGGUGCCCAAUCAUAUUCCAUUGUCCGAUCAAAAAGCCUACCUGAGUCAUCCAUAAUAGGGACAUUGCUGGAAAAUGUUUAGUGACAUUCACCUCAAUGAGAAUUCUGGCAUAGGAGAUUCUAGUUUUUUCGGCAGUGAACUCAUCUGGGAAUAGUGGAAUCCCUAUUAUGCUUUCUAUUCAACUUAAUGAGCUACCUCCCUAUCAUUUCAUGGGAAGUUUGGGAAAUAUAACCCACGGACGAAUCUCAGUUAAAAAUUCAGAAUUAAAAUCAAACCGUGGACUCCAUUGUUUCAUUAUCAUGGGCCUAUUGAUGACUGUGUAAGGUCCCUCACACAUUAUCAUUAUGAGAAUAGAGAGCUCAGACAUAGUGACCAUAUUUCACAUCUGGUUUAUAUAUCUAUGCAUGUAGUUAUACCCUAACUUUUCCCCAAUUACAUAAAUGAUUCGGGAACAUUUCCACUUUAAAGCUUUAGCUUCUAAAUCUGAUUUCUCAAGUUUGGCCACAAGAUUACCUUCUACUAAUUCAGGAGUAAUUAAGUUCAAAGGAAUACCAUUAACAAUUGAUUGAUUACCAUUAAGGACCCCAGACCAAGUUGAUUCCCUGGCAAUUUCCGACAAUGGAACAGUAAUGUGUUAUGGUGAUUGGUUCUCAGCUUCUAUCUUCUUACCCAAUGUAGCAUCAGCUCAUUUUGAAGCUUGAUUUUCAGCUUCCAGCUCCUUACCCAAUGGAACAGUAACACCCCUAGAUGGAGAAGGUGUUACACUAUCUCUCAAGUUCACUUGCAUAGGAUAGGACUCUGAUUUGCUCGUUUCUGCUGUUGACUUGCAGAUGCAGGGGCUCUGACAUAAGGGAUCUGGGUAAGUAUUCCACCUACUACCUGCGUUUUGGAAGUUCCAGAGAUUGACUCCAUGACUGCAGACGAGGUACCUCCGAUGUAUUUGAGCUUGGGUAUUUUGUCAUCAAGUUGCUUUUUAGGACGACCGCACGAGGUCGCCACACGUUUGCUUAAACUGCGCUGAGACAGCGAGUAAAAAGACUACAAUUUCACGAAUUCACUUUUUUGAUGGACUCUAAUUGGCUUGCAAUUUUGUAGGUUUCAUAGAAAAUGGCCUAGUGCGACUUUCGGAUUUCAUUUUUUGGUGGGGUCAUACGGCACAAAUAUAUGAUUAUAUUCACUUUUUUGUGUGUAUAUUAGUACUUGCUGAAUUAAAAACUUCUUUAAUGAAAUGAUUUUUCAGAUUUUUGUGUGCUAUUGUCUAUGUCAUUUGCAUGAAUUGGGGCGAUCGACCUCUAAUCUUCUAAGAUUUUACAAACCCAUAAACAAUGACCUAAUAAACAAUAUUCAUUAUUUUAUCAUGAUCGUUCCUCAUUUUUGGUAUUUUAGGGCCGUAAAACAAGAAUUUAGGAUGAUCCCCAAAUUUUCUUGUGCUAUACCUAUGUAUCUCCAUGAAUUCGAGCGACCGACACCGAAUCUCAUAAAGUUUUGCGGGCCCAGAAAAAUGACCUAAUGAACAUUAAUCAUCACUUUACUAUGACCGUGUCUAAGUUUUUAGCAUUUUAGGUCCAUUAAAUAAUAAUUCAAAAUGAUUUCCAAAUUUUCAUGCGCUACAGACCAUGCCAUCUGCAUGAAUUCGAACAAUUGACCCCGAAUCUCCUUAAAAUUUGUGAGAUCAUAAAAAGACCUAAUGAAAAAUAUUCAUUACUUCUCUAUGGUCGUUCUUCUUCUUCUUCUUCUUCUUCUUCUUCUUCUUCUUCUUCUUCUUCUUCUUCUUCUUCUGUGGCGAUUUAGGGCCAUAAAACAGAAAUUCAGGACAAUUCCUAGAUUUUCAUAUGCUAUAGUCCUCGCCAUAUGCAUGAAUUCGAGCGACCGAUCCCAAAUCUCAUAUAGUUUUACGAGUCCAUAAAAAUUACCUAAUGAAUAAUAGUCAUCACUCAGUCAUGACCGCUUCGUAUUUUUUGGCAUUUUAGGAUCAUAAAAUAAGUAUUCUGGACAAUUCCUAGAUUUUCGUGUUCUAUAGUCCAUGCCAACAACAAAAAUCUAAUAAAAUCUCAUAAGUAGGGUCUGGAGAGGGUAGUGUGUACGUAAACCUUACCCCUACCUCAGAGGAGUUGAGAGGCUGUUUCUGAUAGACUCUCAGCUCAAGAAGAAGAAAAGAGACAAUAUAUCAGUAAUAACAACUGAAGCCUGAAAUAUAAUAUCAGCAUCGUGAGAGCGAGAAAUAUAUGAAAAUGCAAUAAUAAAUAGUAAUAAUGGCACGAUAUUAUGAAAAAUGAAAAAAAUAGUGUGAACACAAUAUUAACCACUAGAAAUCUAAGACAAAAUACUAUUAGACUAGCCUCACACCUGGAACGAAAUAGAAAAAUAUUCAAUUACCUCCUAACCUUCAAUCCUAAUACUCGACCUGCACACCUUCCUAUCAAGGGCAAUCCUUAGAAGUCUGAAGUUGCGAUAUGUCCUGCCUGAUAAGCUCUUCCUAAUAAUUCUUAGGCUGUCCUCUACCCCUUCUCAUACCCGCCAAAGUAAAUGUUCAUACCUCAUUCCCGAGGAAUCUAGGCUUCUCCUCUGCACAUGCCUGAAUUAUCUAAGCCUCGCUUCCUGAAUCUUGUCACCCAUGGGCGCCAUGUCCACCUUCUCCCGAAUAUGUUUAUUUUUAAUAUUAUAUAGUCAAUUUGACUUAUCAAAAAAGACCUAAGGAGCAAUAGAUAUCGCCUCGUCAUGACCGUUCAUCAAUUUUUGGCUUUUUAGGGCCAUAAAAUUAGAACUCCGCCCGAUUCUCAGAUUUUUGUGUGUUAUAGCCCAUGCCAUAUGCAUGGGUACCAGACCCGGAUCACCUAAACUUUUGCCAGCCUAUCAAGAAAAACCUAAGGAAAGACCAGCCUAUCAAGAAAAACCUAAGGAAAGAUAAUACUCGCAUCGCCAUGACCGUUCCUCGUUUUUAAGCGUUUUAGGGUCAUAAAACUGAAAUUUUGCUCGAUUCCCAGAUUUUCGUGUGCCAUAGCCCACGCCAUUAGCAUGGGCCCGGGCCAACGGACUUGGAUCGCCUAAAAAAAUUCAGCCAAUCAAUAAUGACCUAAGGAACAAUAAUCAUUGCUUCGACAUGACCGUUCAUUGUUUUUUGGCAUUUUUGGGCCAUAAAUUUUGAAUUUCGCCCGAUACCUUUCAUGUGCAAUAGUCCAUGUCAUCUGCAUGGGCCCCAGCCACACAAUCCGAAUCGUAAUUUUUUUCUGAUUAACAAAAAUUACCUAAGGAACAACAACCAUCGCCUCACCAUGGCUGUUCCUUGUUUGUUUAGCAUGUUAAGGCUAUAAAAUUGAAAUUCUGCAUGAUUCCCAGAUUUUGCUAUUGCUCACGCCAUCAUUAUGGGCCCAAGACACCAGACCCGAAUCACCUAAAUUAUGUCAGCCCAUAAAAAUGACUACAGGACCAAUAGUCAUCGCCUUUCCAUGACCAUUCCUCUUUUGUUGGUGUUUUAGGGCCAUAAAACUGGAAUUUCCUUCGAUUCCAAGAUUUUUGUGUACUAUAGCCCAUGUUUUGUGGAUAGCCUAAAAUUUUACCGCCCUACCAAAAAUGGGUUAACGAACAAUAGUUUUUGCCUCACCCUUACCUUUCUAUUUUUUGUUAUUUUAGAGCCAUAAAACUGCAAUUCCGCUCGAUUCCUAGACUUUUAUAUGAUAGCCCACGUCAUGUGCAUUGUCUCGGGUCAACGAACUCGGAUCUCCUAAUAUUUUGUUGUCCCAUAUAAAUUAUUGAAAGAACAAUAGUCAUCGCCUCUCCAUGAUCGUUCCUUAUUUUUUGGUAUUUUAGGGCCAUAAAACUCGAAUUCCUCUCGAUUCCCAAAUUUUUAUGUGCUAUAGCUCACGUCAUCUACAUGGGCCCGGGCCGUCGGAUCGCCUAAAUUUCCCCGUUCCAUAAAAAAUUACCUAAGGAAAAAUAGUCAUCACUUUGGCAUAAUCGUUCCUCAAUUUUUGGUAUUUUGGAGCCAAAAAAUUGUAAUUUUGCCAUAUUUAUAGAUUUUCUUGGCUGUUGUCAAUGCUAUUUACAUGGGCCUCGACCACCACACUUAGAUUGCUUAAAAACGUUUUGGCCCGUAAAAAUGACCCAAUGAAUAAUAGUCAUCGCCUAGUCAUGACCGUUCUUAGUUUUUUGGCAUUUUAGGGCCAUAAAACUAUAACUCCGCCUGAUUCCCAGAUUUUCGUAUCCUAUUACCCACGACAUCAGCAUGGGUUCACGCCACCAGACCCGGACCAUCUAAAUAUUUAUCGGUCCAUAAAAAAUUACCUAAUAAACAAUAAUCAUUGCCUCGCCGUUUUAGGGUAAUAAUACUGUAGUUCCGUCUGAUUCCCAGAUUUUAGUGUGCAACGCCACCUGCUUGGGCCCGGGACACCAAACCUGGAUCGCCUAAAAUUUUGCCUUCCCAUCAAAGUAGACCUAUUGAACAAUAUUCAUCGCCUUGCCAUGAUCGUUCCUCUUUUUUAGCUUUUUAAGGCCAUAAAUUGGAAUUCUACCCGAUUCCUAGAUUUUCAUGUGCUAUACCCCACGCCAUUAGCCAUGGCUCGAGCCACCGGACAAGGCCCAUUAAAAAUGACCUAAGGAAUAAUAGUCAUUGCUUUGCCGUGACUUCCUCGUUUUUGGCGCAUUAGGGCCAUAAAACUGGAAUUACGCCCGAUUCCUAGAUUUUCUUGAGCUUUAGCCCACGCCAUCAUCAUCGGCCUGGGUCACCGGACCCGGAUCGCCUAAAAUUUUAUCAGCCCAUCAAAAAUGAUCCGAGCAAUAAAUACAUCACCUCAUCAUGAUCAUUCCUCAUUUUUUGAUGUAUUAGGGCCACAAAACUGGAAUUCUGCCAGAUUCCUAAAUUUUCGUGUGCGAUAACCUUCGCCAUCUGCAGAAGCCUGACCCACCAUACCCGGAUCACCUACAAUUUUAUCGUCCAUUAAAAAUGACCUAAGGGACAAAAUUCAUCACCUCUCUAUGACCGUUGCUAAAUUAUUCGGCAUUUUAGGGCCCUAAAACUACAAUUCCUCUGAUUCCUAGAUUUUCGUGUGCUAUAGCCCACACCAUCUGCAUAGGCCCGAGACACCGGACCCAGAUCACCUAAUAUUUAUCUGGCCCAUAAAAAAAACCUAAGGAACAAUAUUCAUCACAUCGCCAUGACCAUUCCUUGUGUUUUGGUAUUUUAGGGCCAUAAAUAUGGAAUUCCGCCCGAUACCCAGAUUUUCGUGAGCUAUGCCAUCUGCGUGGGACCCGACCACCCGAACUAAAUCGCCUAAUAUUUUUCGAACCACCAAAUAUGAACUAAGAAAUAAUAUUUAUCGCCUCGCCAUGAUCGUUUCUCUUUUUUGGCAUUUUAGGUCCAUAAAAUAAUAACUCCGCCCAAUUCGUAGAUUUUCGUAUGGAAUAGCCCAUGCCAUCUGCAUAGGCCGGGGCCAUCGGACCCAGAUUGCCUAAAAUUUUGAUGGCCCAACAAAGAAGAUUUAAGAAAAAUAGUCAUAACCUUGCCAUGAUCGUUUCUCAUUGUCUCAUAUUUUAGGGCGAUAAAAUAAUAAUCCCACUCGGUUCCAAUAUUUUUAUGUGUUAUAUCCCACGUCAUUUUCUUGAGCUCGGGCAACCCGUAUUGCCUAAAAAAUUUAUGCCCAGAAAAAAUGACCUAAGGAACAAUAGUCAUCGCCUCGCCAUAUUCUUUCCUCAUUUUUUGGCAUUUUAGGACCAUAAAACUGGAGUUACGCCCGAUUCUACAGUUUUUGUGUUCUAUAGUGCACACCAUCUACAUGGGCCUAGGCCAUUUGAACUAGAUCGCAUAAAAUAUUUUCGGCCCAUCAAAACGACCCAAGUAACAAUAGUAAUCAUCUCGCCAUGAACGUUCCUCAUUAUUUGGCAUUUUAGGAUCAUAAAACUGGAAUUCUGCCUGAUAUCUAGAGUUUCGUGUGUUAUAGCUCAUGUCGUCAGCAUGUGCCUAGGCCAGCGGACUAGUGUCUCCUAAAAUUUUGCCAUCCUAUAAAAACAACAUUAGGAACAAUAGUCAUCACUUGUCAAUGAGUGUUUCCCAUUUUUCGGUGUUUUAGGGCCGUAAAAUUGAAAUUCUGCCAAUUUCCAAAUUUUCCUAUGUUAUAGUCAAUACCAUCUGCAUGUGCCCAACCACGAGACCCGAAUCUCCUAAAAUCUUGUCGGCCCAUAAAAAUCGAUCUAAUGAACGGUAGUCAUGGCCUCGCCAUAAACUUUCCUUUAUUUUGGCACUUUAGGGCCAUAAAAUCAGAAUUUUGCUCGAUUCCUAGAUUUUCGUGUGCCAUCUACAUGGGCCCGGGACACUGGAUCCGGAUUGCCUAAAAUUUUUCGGCCCAUAUAAAAUGACCCAAGGAACAAUAGUCAUCGCCUCGCCGUGAUCGUUCCUCAUUUUUGGCAUUUUAGGGCUAUAAAACUAAAAUUUCGCUCGAUUUCUAAAUUUUCAUGUGUUAUAGUCUACACUAUCUGUAUUGGCCUGGGCCUGCGCCACAUGCCCAUAUCGCCUAAAACUAUAUUGACCUAUAAAAAAUGACUCAAGGAAUAAUAGGCAUCGUCUCGCCAUGAUUGUUCCUCAUUUUAGGCGUUUUAGGGCCAUUAAACUGGAAUUCUACUUGCUUCCCAGAUUUUUGUAUGCCAUAGCCCACACUAUCAGUACGGGCCGGGACCACCAGACCUGGAUCAUCUAAAUUUGAUUGUCCCAUCAAUAAUGACCUAAAGAACAAUAGUCAUUGUCUUGCCAAUUUCAUUCCUCAUUUUUUGGCGUUUUAGAGCCGUAAAACUGGAAUUUUGCCCGAUUCCCAGAUUUUCGUAUGCUAUUGCCCACACUAUCAGCAUAGGCUCGAGAAAUUGACCCGGAUCGCAUAAAUUCUUUCCAGAACAUAAAAAAUAACCUAGGAAACAAGAGUCAUAACCUGCGCCAUAUGCGUAAUCUCGGGCCACAAGACUCGGAUUACCUAAAAUUUUGAUGGCCCAUAAAAAAUGACCUAAUGAACAAUAUUCAUCACCUCGCCAUGACUGUUUCUAAUCUUGGAAUUUUAGGGCCAUAAAACUGGAAUUACGCCCGAUUUUUAGAUUUUCGUGUGCUACCUAUCGGACCCGAUCGCCAAAAAAUUUUCGGCCCCGCAAAAAUGGCCUAAGGAACAAUAAUCAUAACCUCGCCAUAACCAUUCGUAUUUUAGAGCCACAAAACUAUAAUUCUGCCAGAUUCCCAGAUUUUUGUGGUCUAUAGCCCAUGCUAUUUACUUGGGCCUCGGCCACCGUACCCAGAUCGCCUAAAAUUUUUUCGGCCAAUAGCAAAUGAUCAAAGGAACAAUAGUCUUCGCCUCUCCAUGACUGUUCCUCAUUUUUUGGCAUUUUAGGGCCAUAAAACUGGAAUUCCGCCUGAUCCUAGAUUUUUGUGUGCUAUAACCCGUGACAUCAGAAUGGGCUUACCCAGAUUGCAUAGUAAUUUCCGGCCCAUAAAAAAUGACUUAAGGAACAAUAGUCAUCGCCUCGCCAUGAGAGUUCCUCAUUUUUUAAAAUUUAGGGCCAUAAAACUAAACUCCGAUAUUUCCUAUAUUUUCAUGUGUUGUAGUUCAUAGGUUCGAGCCACCAUAAUUAGAUCGCCUAAAAACUUUCCAGUCCAUAGAAAAUGACCCGAGGAAUAAUAGUCAUCGCCUCAUUAUGACCGUUCCUCGUUUUUAGGCAUUUUACGGUCAUAAAACUGAAAUUCUGCAUGAUUACUAGAUUUUCGUGUGCUAUAUCACACGCCAUCAUUAUGGGCCUGGGUCAUCGGACCUGGAUCGCCUAGAAUUUUGUUGGCCCGCCAAUAACGUUCUAAGGAAAAUGGUCAUAGUCUCGCCAUGACCAUUCCUCAUUUUUUGGCGUUUUAGGGCCAUAAAUUUUGAAUUCUGCCAGAUAUCCAAAUUUUCGUAUGCUUAUAGCCCAUGGCAUCUUCAUAGGACAAGGCCACCCGAUCCGGAUCGCCUAAAAUAUUUUAGGACCACCAAAAAUGACCUAUGUAAUAAUAUUUAUCGCCUCGCCAUGACCGUUCCUCUAUUUUUGUCAUUUAGGGCUACAAAACUAAAAUUUCACCCGAUUUCUUGAUUUUCGUAUGGUAUAGCCCACACUAUCUUCAUAGGCCCUGGCCACCCGACCAAGAUCGCCUAAAAUUUUAUCGUUCCAUAAAAGACGACCUAAGGAAUAAUAAUCAUCGUCUCCCCAUGACUAUUCCUCACUUUUUUAUAUUUUAGGGCCAUAAAACUAUAAUUUCACCCAAUUCUCAAAAUUUUAUGUGCUAUUGUCCAUCAAACACUGUAACCAAAAACAUUCCAGCCCAUAAAAAUGUCCUAAGGAACAAUAUUCAUCUCCUCUCCAUGAUCGUUCCUCAUUUAUUGGCGCUUUAUGGCCAUAAAACUGGAAUUUCGCUCGAUUGACAGAUUUUCGUGUGACCGCACCAUCUAUAUGGGCAUGGACACCGGACCCGGAUCGUUAUAAAUUUUUUUGGCCAAUCAAAAAUGCAUUACGUACAAUAUUCAUCGCCUCUCCAUGACCGUUCCUCAUUUUUAACGCUUUAGGGCCGCAAAAACUAUAAUUUCGUCUGAUUCUUAAAUUUUUGUGUGUUAUAUAGCCCACGCCAUCUACAUGAGCCCGAGCCACCAGACCCGGAUCGCAUGAAAUAUUGAUGGCCUAUUAGAAUUAUCAAAGAAACAAUAGUUAUCGCCUCUCCAUGACAGUUCUUUGUUUUUGGCGCUCUAGGACAAUAAAACAUGAAUUUUGCCCGACUCCCACAUAUUCAUGUGAUAUAGCCCACACAAUCUACAUGGGCCCGGGCCAUUUGACUCGGAUCUCCUGGGAAUUUUUCGGCCCAUCAAAAAUGAAUUAAGGAACGAUAGUCAUCACCUCGUCAUGAUCAUUGCUCAUUUUUUGGCGUUUUAGGGCCAUAAAAUUAGAAUUUUGCACGAUUCCCAAAUUUUCGUCUGCUAUAGCCCACACCAUCACUAUGGUCCCUGGCCACCAGACCCGGAUCGCCCAAAAUUUUAGCUUCCCAUAAAAAUAACCUAAGGAAAAAUAGUCAUCGCCUCACCAUGAAGGUUCCUCUUUUUUUUUUUUUUUUUUUUUUUUUGGCCCCCUUUUUUNNNNNNNNNNNNNNNNNNNNNNNNNNNNNNNNNNNNNNNNNNNNNNNNNNNNNNNNNNNNNNNNNNNNNNNNNNNNNNNNNNNNNNNNNNNNNNNNNNNNNNNNNNNNNNNNNNNNNNNNNNNNNNNNNNNNNNNNNNNNNNNNNNNNNNNNNNNNNNNNNNNNNNNNNNNNNNNNNNNNNNNNNNNNNNNNNNNNNNNNNNNNNNNNNNNNNNNNNNNNNNNNNNNNNNNNNNNNNNNNNNNNNNNNNNNNNNNNNNNNNNNNNNNNNNNNNNNNNNNNNNNNNNNNNNNNNNNNNNNNNNNNNNNNNNNNNNNNNNNNNNUUUUUUUUUUUUUUUUUUUUGUAUUUUAGGACCAUUUUUUGAUUAAAUGGUCAAUGAUUAGUUCUUAAAAUUUCGACUAGAUUUCUGUUUUAUUCCUUAUGUUGUUUGGAUUUUAUUUAAUCUGAUUUAUUUUGAAUCUUAACUUUCAUUGAGUUGAUAAUUGGAAGUUGAUGUUACUUUUAAAUUGUGACUUUAGUUUAAAUUUAGCCUUAAAGGGUUUGAAUGUUAAUUAGGAGUUAAUUUCAAUAGGAUUAGUUAGUUCACUUGUUAGGUAAUGUUGGGUUAGUAUUUAGUUAAUAUUGACUCACCAUGGUAAGCUGAAACAGGGGUUAGGUUUAAUUGAUAUGGAUGAGUAAUUUCAGACUAGUAAAAGGAUAGUUUAGGGAAUUCUAUUUAGGGAAUCUAGCAAUAACUGAAUUUAGAACUUCCUAGAAGCUUAUAUGUGGGGUUCAAAAUGAAAUUUCAGGAAAUGUAGUAGGAUAACUUGAAACAGAAGUCAGCCUUUAAGGACAUUUAAGCAAAAAUAAAAUUUUUAAAAGGACUACAAUGAAAAACUGAAAAAAACUUAGGACUGCCCUCAUUUUUGCUUAUAAAAGGCAUAUCUAGUGCCUUCUUUUCUAAGUUUUCCAAUCUUAAAAUUCCCUCCCAAAAUCUCCACAAGUUUAGAAUCUAGAAUUUGAAAUUCAAAAUCAAAAGAAAACAUAUCUGAAAUUCAAAAAGUUCCUUAGCUCAUAGUUCUUCAAAAACCAAAAAAUAUAUAAUACAAAAAACUCCAAAAACACUGUUUCAUUGGAAUUCGUAUAUUAAUUUUGAGUUUAGCGGCUGAUUUGCAUCUCCUAGUUCAAAGUUUGAUAGUUGAAAGUUUUGAUGUAGUUCUGGGUUCAAUUUCAAGUGCAGUUAUUCGAGUUGUUUAUGGUUGAUUUUCCUAGUUCUGUUUGAUUUCGAAUUUUUCCUGGGUUGCUGAAUUCGUUUCUGGGUUGUUGUUCGACUUCUGCUCAUUACUGCUGCUGAUUUUUUCUUUUUCUUCUUAUAUUUUAAACAUCCAUGUACACACCUUGAACCAGCUGCGAUGUAACUCGAAUUGGAAAUGGAAAUCAUGUUGCUGUUGGCUUGAUGUUUACGUUAUCCGUAUUUAUUCGUUUUAGCUUAGUUUAGUUUCAUUUUAUUAGUUAAGUGUUGUAAUUGAACUGGACUGUAUGGAUUGUUUUGCGAUUGUAGCCUUGGCUAGUUUCAGUAUUUGUAGUAGUUAAAUGUCAAUUUGAAGGUUUAGAAAGGGCAGAUUAAGUGUUAGUUAGAAGUAAUUAUUUUAAAAUGAGCCAGUAGGCCCAUUUCAAAAUCUGUAUUGUUUUAGACUUGCCGUUGGUUAAGACUCUACAGCCCACUUAUAUUAAUUGGGUCUUGAUAUCAUUAGAGUGGACCCAAUUCAUGUUCCAGACUGCUUUUCAGUUUGGGCCAGUUUUGAGCCUAAACGAAUAGCAGUGCGCAAAAAUGAUUUGAUAUUAAUCCUCUGCUGUUGGGCCAAUUUUCAAAAUUUAGUGCUGAAAACUGAAAUCGAAAACUGAGUUUAAUUUUGUAACGUAGGUUUUGGACCUUUCAUGUAAUUAGGCCUUUAGAGAUAACCCAAUAGAAAAUAAUAGUUUACUUUAGGAUAUUUUUAAAUUAUUUGAGGUGUGCCGUAUCAAAUAAAAUUAUAAAUAGCGUGGCCCUCUUAACAGUGUUCUAUAAAAUAUUUUAGACCUCGAGACGUGCCAUUUAGCGAAUUUCAUGGCUUCCCACAAAGUUAAUAAUACGCUACUUGCUUUGGGCCCGGCAUUUAAUAAAAUUAUCUUCUUAAACUCGGGUGUAAAUUUAUGUGAUCCAAAUUCAAAUCCCAACGAAGUCGAAAUGUGUCAAAAAUUACGGGUGCAUUUAAAUGACGUGGUUCGAGACAUAUUUUCACGAUGUUGUAAUUCUCUUUAAAAAAUAAUAAUAAUAAAAGCGGGUUAAAGUUAAAAAGCACAUGAGUUAAACACAUGUUUUAAAAUUAGAUAUGAGCGACCGUGCUAGAACCACGGAAUCCGGGAAUGCCUAACACCUUCUCCUAGGUUAACAGAAUUUCUUACUCGAAUUUUUGGUUCACGGACUGUUAAAUAGAGUCAACAUUUUCCUUGAUCCGGGAUUCAACUGGUGACUUGGGAAACCAUUAAUCUCCCAAGUGGCGACUCUGAAUCUUUAAAUAAAUACAAUUUCGAUUGUCCUUUAAUUAGAAAAACUUCAUCACACCCUUACAGUGUAGUGAAAAAGGAGGUGUGACAAUAGAAUCGAAAAUUUGCUCGAUUCCCAUAUUUUUUGUUAUAUAGCCCAUGCCGUCAGCAUGGGCUCGGGCCAUCGGACCCAGAUUGCCUAAAUUUUAUUGGCCCAUAAAAAUGACACGAGGAACAAUUGACAUUGCCUCACCAUGAUCUUUCCUCUUUUUUGGCGUUUUAGCGCCAUAAAUAUGGAAUUUUGCCUGAUUCAAAAAUUUAGCUUACGCCACCAGCAUGGGCGGACCAUUGGACCAUAUUGCCUAAAAAUUUCUAGCCCAUAAAAACGAUCAAAGGAACAAUACUCCUCACCUCUCCAUGACCCUUGCAUAUUUUUUGGUGUUUUAGGGCCAUAAAAUUGGAAUUCCGCCUGAUUCCUAGAUUUUCGUGUGUUAUAGGCCGAGUCAUCUGCAUGGGCCUGGCCCACUAGACCCGCAUCGCCUACCAUUUUUCAAACUAUCAAAAAAUACCUAGGGAAAGUUAUCGCCUCUCUAUGAUCGUUGCUCAUUUUUUUGGCGUUUUAGCACCAUAAAACAGGAAUUUACAGGAUUCCUAGAUUUUCGUGUGCUAUACCCGAAUCACCUAAUAUUCUUUCAUCCCAUCAAAAGCAACCUAAGAAACAACAGUCAUAGCCUUGUCAUGGCACUUGCUCAUUUUACGGCGUGUUAAGGCAAUAAAACUGAAUUCUACCUGAUUCCUAGAUUUUCGUGUGUUAUAACCCUCGCCAUCUGCAUGAGCCGACUCACUGAAACCGAUUUAGACCAUAACAAAUGAACUAAGUAACUAUAGUCAUCACCUUGAUAUGAUCGUCGCUCCUUUUUUCGUGUUUUAGGUCCAUAAAAUUGGAAUAUUGCCCGAUAUUUAAAUUUUCGUGUGCUAUAACCCACGCUAUUUGCAUGGGCCCUGUUCACCGGUCCUGGAUCGACUAAUAUUUUUCCGUCCCAUCAAAAAUAAACUAAGGAAUAAUAUUCAUCGCCUCGCCAUGGACGUUUCCUAUUUUUUUUACUUUUUAGGGUCCAUAACCUAAAUUUUCGUGAGCUAUAGCCUAUGCCAUUUGCAUGGGCCCGAGCUAUCUGACUCGAAUUGCCUAAAAAUAUUAUACCAGCGAAAAUCACCUAAGAAACAAUAAUUAUAUCCUCGCUAUGACCAUUCCUCAUUUUUUGGCAUUUUAGGGCCAUAAAUCUAAAAUUCUGUCUGAUUCCUAUAUUUUCUUGUAUUAUCCAUGCUAUCCAUACGGGCCAGGGCCACCGGACUCAGAUUGCCUAAAAUUUGUCGGCCUAUCAAAAAUGACCUAAGGAACAAUAGUCAUUUCCUUGCCGUGGUCGUUCCUCAUUUUCUGGUGUUUUAGGGCCAUAAAAAAGAAAUUCUGCCAUGUUCUCGGAUUUUCAUAUGCUAUAGCCCGACCGAGAUCGCUAAAUUUUUCGAAUCAUAAAAACUAAUCUAAGGAACGAUAUUCAUUGCCUCUCCCUUUCCGUUCCUUGUUCUUUUGGCAUUUUAUAAGUGCCAUAAAACUAGAGUUCCGCCCGAUUCUAGAAUUUUCAAGUGCUAUAGCCUACGCCAUCUGCAUUGGCUAGGCCACCGGACCUAGAUUGCCUAAAAUUUUCUCGGACCAUAAAAAAUGACCUAAGGAACAAUAAUAAUCGUCUCACCAUGACCAUUCCUUGUUAUUUGGCAUUUUAGGGUCAUAAAACUGGAAUUUCGCCUGGUACCUAGAGUUUUGUAUGCUAUAGCCCACGCCAUGAGCAUGUGCCUCUGCCAGUAUCUCCUAAAAACUUUUCGGCCCUUAUAAAAUGAUGUAGGUAACAAUAUUCAUCGCCUCACCAUGAACGUUUCCUUUUUUUUUGCGUUUUAGGGCCGUAAAAUUGGAAUUCCGCAUGAUUCUCACAUUUUUGUGUGAUAUAGCAUAUGUCAUUUGCAUGUGCCCGACCACUGGACCUGGAUCUCCUAAAAACUUUUCGGCCCAUAAAAAUGUCCUAAGUAACAUUAACCAUCCGUUCCUCUUUUUUGGUGCUUUAGGGCCAUAAAAUCAUAAUUUCGCCCGAUUUCCUGAUUUUCAAAUGUUAUGGCCCAUACCAUCUGCAUGGGCCUGGGUUAUUGGACUCGGAUCGCCUACAAUUUUUUUCGCCCAUCCAAAUUUACCUAUGGAAAAAUAUUAAUCGCCUCGCCAUGUCCAUUCCUCCUUUUAGCGGGUUUAGGUCAUAAAACUGGAAUUUCGCCCGAUUCCUAAAUUUUCGUACUAUAGCCCACACCAUUUGUAUGGGCCCGUGCCACAGAACCUGAAUCGUCUAAAAUUUUAUUGACCCAUAAAAUAUGACCUAAGAAAAAAAAUAGUCAUCGCCUCUCCAUGACCAUUCCUUAAUUUUUUGAUAUUUUAAGGCCAUAAAACUGAAAUUGCGCUUGAUUCCUAAAUUUUCGUAUGCUACAAAUAUCGCUUUGCCAUGACGGUUCCUUGUUUUUUGAAAUUAUAGGGCCAUCAAAUAGGAAUUCAUGAAGAUUAUAGACUUUCGUGUACUAUAGUCCAUGCUAUCUGUAUGAAUAUGGGCGACCGGCCUCGAAUCUCCUAAAUUUUACGGGCCCAUAAAAAUGACCUAAUAAAUAAUAGUCAUCGCUUCGCUAGGAGCGUUCCUUAUUUUUUUUUUGCGUUUUAGAGCCAUAAAAUAGGAAUUUCAGGAUGAUUCCUGGAUUUUUGGGUGCUAUAGUUUAUGGCAUCUUCAUGAAUUCAGUCGGCUCCGAAUCUCCUAAAAGUUUGUGGGCUCAUAAAGAUGACCUAAUGUACAAUAAUCAUUGCAUCGCCAUGACUAUUCCUUGUUUUUUAGGUUUUUCAGACCAUAAAACAUGAACUCAAGAUGAUUCCUAGAUAUUUGUAUGCUAUAGUCCACGCCAUCUACAUGAAUUGGGGCGAUAUGGCCCCGAAUCUCUUAAACUUUGCGGGCCCAUAAAAAAUCACCUAAUGAGCAAUGGUAAUACUCUUCCUCAUCUUUCAUUAUUCGUAUUUCAUGUCCUGGGACAUAUAUAUUGUAGAUACUCCCUUCUAUUAUACAUCGUCAAAGUCUUCUUAGUUCUUCAAUGUUACAAUCAGAUCCGAAAAAUGAGAAAUCAAUCAAAAUGGACCUGAAUUGAAUCACGACUAUAAGUUAUUCUGUUAUUAAGAGAUUUAAUAUAGAUUUAAUUGUGCAUGCGAAAAUUUGAUUUCCUUGGACCGUGUAAGAAUUCGUUGUCCGAUUGAAGUCGUUCCUUAUUUUUUGGUAUUUUAGAGCAAAAAAUAAGAAUUUAGGACGAUUCUUAGAUUUUCAUAUGCUAUAGUCUACGCCAAUUGCAUGAAUUCAGGGGACCGACCUGAAUUUUGCGGGCCCAUACAAAAUGAUCUAAUGAACAAUAGUCAUAGAUUCGAUAUGAUCAUUCCUUUCUUUCUUUUAGCAUUUUUGGGCCAUAAAACAGAAACUCCAAAUGGUUCCCAGAUUUUCAUGUGCUGUCCAUGCCAUCUGCAUGAAUUUUGGAGACCAUCCCCGAUUCUCCUAAUAUUUUGCAUGCCCAUAAAAACAACAUAAUAAACAAUAUUCUUCACUUUUCAUGGCAGUUCUUCGUUUUCUGGCGUUUUAGGGCCAUAAAAUAGGAAUUCAUGACGAAUUGAUUUUAAUAUGCCAUAGUCCACAUCACCUACAUGAAUUCAGGCAAAAGGCUACAAAUUGCUCUAAACUUUUACGGGCCUACCAGAAAUGAACUAAUUAGAAUAGUCUUUGAUUUUUUAUGAAUGGUCCUUAUUUCUUAUCGCUUUAGCGCCAUAAAACAGGAAUCCAGGAGGAUUUUAUAUUUUUCGUGUGCACUAGUCCAUGCCACAUUCAUGAAUUUGGCGACAGGCUCCCAAAUUCCUAAACUUUUGUGGGGCCAUCAAAAGCGGUCCAAUGAACAUAGUCAUUACUUCACCAAGACAUUUCCUCAUUAUUACAUUUUAGGGCCAUAAAAUAGAAAUUCAUGUCGAUUUUUAAUUCGUGUGCUAAUGUCCACCACAACUUCAUGAUUUUAGGUAACGGGCUCUAAAUCGCCUAAACUUUUAUGGGCCAUUAGAAAUGAUAUAAUGAAGAAUAGUCAAUAUUGCUUCAUCAUGAUUGUUCCUCGUUUGGGGUUUUAAGGCCAUAAAACAGGAAUUUAAGGUGAUUUUUGAUUUUUCAUGUGCUAAUGUCCACGCUAGCUUCAUGGAUUCGGGGACGAGCUCUAAAUUUACUAAUAUUUUAUGGUCCCAUAAGAAAUGUUCCUAAUGAACUUUAUUCGUUUCUUCGCCUUUUGGCUCCUUAAGGAAUGAGAAUUCAUGACGAUUUUUAAUUUUUCGUGUCAUAAUGUCCACGUCAGUUUCAUGAGGCAACAAGCUCCGAAUCGCCUAAAAUUUUGUAGGCCCAUCAAAAUGACCUAAUGACCAGUAGUUAUUACUUCGUCAUGAAUGUUCCUCAAUUUUUGGUAUUUUAGAGCCAUUAAUAGGAAUUUAGGAUGAUUUUAUUUUUUGUGCUAAUGACCAUAUCAUUUUCGAGAAUUUAGGCGACGAGAUUCGAAUUGCAUAAAAAUUUUUAUGGGCCCAUUAAAAAUAACCUAAUAAACAAUAGUCAUUGCUUCAUCAUGGCUGGUCCUUAUUUCUUAGCGUUUUACGUCCAUAAAAAGUAAGUCAAGAUAAUUUUAAAAUUUUUAUAUGCUAAUAUCCACGCCAUUUUCAUGAAUUCAGCGACGGUCUCUGAAAUGCCUAAAAUUUUAUGGGCCCAUCAAAAAUGACCAAAUGAACGUAGUCAUUACUUUGCCACGACCUUUCCUCAUUAUUUGCAUUUAAGGUCCAUAAAAUAGAAUUCAUGACGAUUUUCGAUUUUUUCGUGUGCUAAUGUCCACGCCAGCAUCAUGAAUUUGGGUAACGGGCUCCGAAUCGCCAAAAAUUUUAUGGACCAUUAGAAACAAACUGAUGAACAAUAGUUAAAACUUCACCAUGAUUGUUUCUCAUUUUUGGCAUCUUAAGUCCAUAAAAUAUGAUGUCACGACCCAAAAUCCACUAAGGGUCAUGGUAACGCCAGACACCGCUGUCAGGCAAGCCAACAAAAAUAGUUAAUAAAAUUCUCGUUUAAUUAUUUUCGAAAACACUUUGUUUAUACGAUUUAAAACAAUACUCUGUAUAUUCCUCUUAAUAAAUAAUGAAAUAUUUAACAACUUUUAAAAUUUAUGAAUAAACCCAAGUACAUCCCUGAACUCGAUGUCACAAGUACAUGAACAAUUUUUAAGAAAACUGAAUAAAGUACAACAACUAUCCGAAAUACAAUUGGACAGAAAAUAAAUAGAAUCAUGAAAGAGACUAUACUAGCUUCGGAUCGCCUCGAGAAAAUACAGCUCACCUAGUCUCCGUGUCAACCAUGCCGCUAUGCCACUAAGCCAUUAGCCACACAUAAACCUAUGCAACAAAAAAAGCACAACAAGAAUAGUAUGAGUACGAAAACAACGUGUACUCAACAAGUAUCCCGUCUAAACUUGAAAAAGUAGAGACGAGAGGUCGACUUCAACACUUGCUAGUGGUCAAAUAAUAAUAUAAUAGAAAUGUGAGAAAAUCAGGGAUUUAUAUAGCAGUUCUAACUCACAAAGUCGGAAAACAGGUAUGCACCUUUAGCAAAUAAUAAAGGAUUUUAAAGAUUUACUUUUCAUUAUCUUUAUUAGUUUAUAGUGGGCCAAAAAGGCAAUAUCAACUUCAAUAAGUUUCAAGGUUAACAAUACAAGCAUGCGCAUAUCAUGCCGAGGCGAUGACCCGAUCCAACAGAAAUAAACUGUGCACUUGCCGAGGGUCGAUGGCGCACCUAUAGAUGUAUGUAUUUAAUAUACCGAGGCGUUCAGCCCAUUCCAAAAAUAAACACACACAGACAGACAGUCAAUCAAGAAGUCAACAUGGAGCAAUUAUCUAAAGAAUAACCAAUUCUCUUUAAUAAUUUAAUAAAAUGAAGUUUAUAUCUUUUUAGAAAUUCAUUUACUAUUUCAAUAUGAUUUAAGCAGUACAAGGUGUCAAUAAGGUUUGUAAUUAUUCCAGGUACAGCAUAUUUGUGGGUCCUAUCCUACCCGGACAAUAGCAUAAUGGUAGCUACGCACGGACUCACGUCACCUCGUGCAUACGUAGCCCCCACAAAUAGGAGAACAUAACCAAUUAACUCACCUAUGGGGGGCAAUUCCCUCUUACAAGCUUAGAAAUGAGACUCACCUCGCUCCGAAGACCCAUUACCAGCAUUCUGCGCUCUUCCUAAGAAUCGAAUCGAUGAAAAAGGCUCCAAAGCUAGCCAAUAAUAAUACCAAUCCAUUAAUAUAUAAUCAAUUACUCCUAAUGAUUUCGAAAACAACCUCUAUAGCCCUUCGGGUUAGGGGUAAGGUCUGUGUACAUACUACCCUCCCUAGACCCCACUUUUAGGAUUUUACUGGGUUGUUGUUGUUGUUUACUCCUAAUGAUCCAAUUUAUAACAAUUCCUAACCCCGAUUGAAAAGUUGACAAAAAUUCCCUUGGACCCACGUGCCCAGAUUCCAAAAUUUUUCGAAGAUAAAAUUUACCCAUAAUAUCACGAACUCAAAUAUAUAUAUUUUUCUCUCAAUUUCAUAUCAAAUCAUAGUCAAAAUUCAAGAUUAUCAAAUUUCUAGGUCUACCUCAAAACCCCAAAUUUUUCUACAAAUUCCUUGUCUAAAUCCAUAUAUAAAUAUUGUAUAUACUCAAAAAACUAGUAGAAAUCACUUACCUCAUGCUUGGUGAUAAAAAUGGCACUCCAAAGUUACUCCAAAAUCGGCUCCCAUGGAAUAAAUGAAGUGAAAAUGAGCCAAAUCCCGAUUUUAAGAGAACAAUGCCCAUGAGACCCUUCUAUGCGAUCAAAAACAAAGCACCGCGAUCGCAUAGGCCAACUCUGAUGCCUCCCAAAUUCCUUCUGUGUUCGCAUGCACACCCCCGCGUUCGCACACACCAAAUGCAUCACAGCUCCAACGCACACUGUGCGAUCGUAUCACCAAGCAUGAGAUCACAUAAGCCCCAGCCAUACUCCUUCGCAAUCGCAUUGCACUUCCUGUGAUUGUAUAGGCCGAAUUCCAUUCCAUCACUCUAGCUCUAUGCGAUCGCAGACCCUCUCACCCGAUCGUAUAGAGCAAAAACCUGCUGCAUUUAUACCAGAAAAUCAGUAAUCCUCUCAAGGCAAAAAUCGAUCUGUUGAGCAUCCGAAACGCACCUGAGGCUCUUGGGACCUGAAUAAAACCUACCAACCAAUCCCAAAACACAUUACGGACUUGCUGGAAGCCUCAAAUCAUAUCAAAUAAUGCUAAAAUCAUGAAUCACACUCCAUUUCAAACUUGAAGAAUAUAGAAUUUCAAACUUCUACAUUCGAUGCCUAAACCUGUCAAAUCACGUCCGAUUGACCUAAAAAUUUACACCCACGUCAUAUUUCGCAUUAUAGACCUACUCCAACUUCCAGAAUCGGAAUCUGACCUCGAUAUGAAAAAGUCCACUUUUGGUCAAACUUCUCCAAAAACCUUCAAUUUUCUAUCUUUAGCCAAAUGGUUCCAAAAUAACCUACAGACAUCCGAAUUCACUUUCGACCGCGCUCCCAACUUCAGAAUCACCAUAUGGAGCUACUCACAGCCUCGAAAUUCCAAACGUACAUCGAUAACACUAAAAUGCACUUCAAGCCAAACUUAUGAAAUUUCUUCCAAAAUGCCAACUUCGACAGUAGGCACCAAAUUGCUCCCGGAUUAUCCAAAAUCUAAUCCGGGCAUACGCCUACAUUCGAAAUAAUCAUAUGAACCUGCUGAAACCUUUAGAUCCCGAUUCUGGGAUCGUUUACUCAAAAUUCCAAUCCUAGUUAAUUCCUUCAACUUUAAACUUUAAAAAAUGAGAAUUCUCUUUCUAAAUCAACUCUAGAUUUUUCGAAAUUCAAUUCCGACCACACAUACAAGUCAUGAUGCCUGAAAUGAGGCUGCUCAUGGCCUUAGACUGCUGAACAAUACGCUAGAGCUCAAAAUGAUCAGUUGGGUCGUUACAUAGGAAUUCCAGAUGAUUUUCGAUUUUUUCGCGUGCUAAUGUCUUCACCGGCUUUAUGGAUUCAAAAGGAUGAGCUCCAAAUUUCCUAAUAUUUGGUGGUCCCAUAAAAACAACCUAAUGAAAUUUAGUCAUUGCUUCGCUUUUUGGCUCUUUAAGGCCAUAAUAUAGGAAUUCAUGAUGAUUUCCAAUUUUUCUUGUCCAAAUGUCCAUGUCACCUUUAUGAACUUGAGCGACAGGCUCUGAAUCGCCUAAAUUUUGUGGGUCAAUAAAAAAUGACCUAAUGAAUAAUACUCAUUACUUCGGCAUGAAUGUUCCUCAUUUUGUGUUUUAGAGCCAUCAACAUGAAUUUAGGAUGAUUUUUAUUUUUUGUGUGCUAGUCCACAUCAUUUUCAUUAAUUUAGGAUAUGGCUCCGAAUCGCCUAAAAUUUUUGUGGGCUCAUCAUAAUAACCUAAUGAAUAAUAGUCAUUGAUUUGCCGUGACUGGUCUUCUUUUUGGCGUUUUAGAAUCAUAAAACACGAAUUAAGGAUGAUUUUUAAUUUUUUCGUGUACUAAUAUCCACGCCAUCUUUAUGAAUUCUAACGAGGGGCUCCGAAUCACAUAAAAUUUUGUGGGUCCAUCAGAAACGGCCUAAUGAACAGUUGUCAUGACUUGAGUAUUCUUCAUUUUUGUUGUUUUAGGGUUAUAAAAUAAGAAUUCAAGACGAUUUCUAAUUUUUCGUGUUCUAAUAUCUACGCCAUAUUUAGUAUUCGUGCAACAAGUUGUGAAUUGCCAAAAAAUUUAUGGUCCUAUCAGAAACGGCCUAAUGACAUAGCCAUUGCUUCUUCCUCUUCUUCUUUCUCUUCUUCCUCUUCUACCUCUUCCUCUUACUCUUUUUCUUCCUCUUCUUCCUCUUAUUCUUCUUCAUCUUCCUCUUUUUAAUCAUCUUCUUCUUCUUCUUCUUCCUCUUCUUCCUCUUCUUCCUCUUCGUCCUCUUCUUCUUCUUCUUCUUCUUCUUCUUCUUCUUCUUCUUCUUCUUCUUCUUCUUCUUCCUUUUCUUCUUCUUCCUCCUCUUCUUCCUCUUCCUCCUCCUCCUUUUCCUAUUCUUCCUCCUCUUCUUCUUCGUCCUCUUCCUCUUCUUCUUCUUCUUCUUCCUCUUCUUCCUCUUCUUCUUCCUCUUCAUCUUCCUCUUCUUCUUCCUCUUCUUCUUCUUCUUCUUCUUCUUCUUCUUCUUCUUCUUCUUCUAAGCCACAUAUUUUGGUUGGACCCCAAUAGUAAAUAUCUUGAAAGAACUAAUGCUAAUGGAAUAUUGAAACCCAAUGAAAUUGUAGAUAGAGAUAUCAUAAGAUAAGAACUCUUUCACUCAAUCCCUAUAUAAAUAUUUAAGCCCAACAGACUACAUCACCAUAGCUAACUUCUCUAUUACUUCAGCCGUAAAAAAACACUUAUUUCUCCUUAUUAAACCAUGGCUGCUUCUACAGUGGCUCUCUCUUCCUCUUCUUUUGCCGGAAAGGCAGUGAAACUCUCACUGUCUUCCUAUGAAAUCACCGGAAAUGGGAAAGUUAUCAUGAGGAAAACUGCUAGCAAGGCCAAGCCUGUCUCUUCUGGUAGCCCAUGGUACGGUCCUGACCGUGUCAAAUACCUGGGUCCAUUUUCUGGUGAAUCUCCAAGCUACUUGAAUGGUGAGUUUCCGGUGACUAUGAAUGGGACUCUGCUGGACUUUAAGCUGAUCCAAAAAAAUUUGCUACAAACUGUGAGUUGGAGGUGAUCCAUUGUAGAUGGGCUAUGCUUGGAGCUCUUGUUUGUGUCUUCCCAGAGCUUUUGGCCCGUAACGGUGUCAAGUUUGGUGAGGCUGUAUGGUUCAAAGCUGGAUCCCAAAUUUUCAGUAAGGGUGGACUUGACUACUUGGGCAACCCAAGUUUGGUCCACGCACAAAGCAUCCUGGCCAUUUGGGCUUGCCAAGUUGUAUUGAUGGGAGCUGUUGAGUGUUACCGUAUUGAUGGUGGGCCUCUUGGUGAGGUUGUUGACCCACUUUACCCUGGUGGCAGCUUUGACCCAUUAGGCCUUGUUGAAGACCCAGAUGCUUUUGCAGAGCUCAAGCUAAAAGAGAUUAAGAACGGCAGACUUGCCAUGUUCUCCAUGUUUGGAUUCUUUGUUCAGGCUAUCGUUAUCGAAAAGGGUCAAUUGGAGAACAUUGCCGAUCACCUUGCUGACCCAGUUAACAACAAUACCUGGGCCUAUGCCACUAACUUUGUUCCCGGAACGUGACUUUAACAAAAGUUGAUCUCUAAUUUUCAUGUAGUGAGAUAGUAUGUAGGUUGUGAGUGAUGAACCUAAAAGAGUGGUCAAAGUCUUUGUUUUUAUUGCAUUUUGGGCUAUGGGUUCUAUAAAGGGGAUCGGUAUGUGAUGUAAAUUGGUUUGGAUUAAUGAAGAACAUUGUGAAUCUUUUAAAGUUCUUUCUUGCACAUCCAAUUUUUAAUGUUGUACUUCUUUAUGAUUUCAAACUUCAAAGUGUUUAAUGUCUUAAAAUUGCAGUACAUAAUCUAAUAAUGUCCAGAAAACAGUUAACCGUGAAAGAUUCGUUUUUUAUUUUGCCAUUUCAUUUCACCAGCACAUGAAAUUGAGAUUUUAGGAUAUGUUUAAGUUAGAAAAAAAGAAUAGUCAGUAAGAAUUGAAACUUUUGUGAAAGUAAAACAUUCGGUGCACAAAGCAUCUCACAUCCAUGCAGGGUCGGGGAAGAAUCGCAGCUCAAGAAUACGAUGUAGAUAACUUGCCUUAAGGCUGGAAACAUUAAUGACUGCUUUCGCGACUUGAAAUUAACUGAAUUUGUUAAGAAGAUGAGUGUGUACAAUAACCUAUAGACAUUUUUCUUUUUUUUGAAUUUAAAAAAAAAUUGUGGAGAAUUUCUUUUUCAAAAGUUCAUUUUGUUUGUUGCUUGUUGUUUCAAAGAGCUAUGGAGUUAAAUGUAAUGUAGGAAUGUCUGAGCUAACUCAAUGCCAAUUGAUCUUUUUAAAUUUGAACUGUCAAUUUUGUGUACAUAACAGGUAUACAGUAUGCAAUCAAAUCUAUUUUUUUUAUUUAAUGAAUAUCUAUCUUAAUAUAGGGAGACAACAAAUGGAUGAAAAUUAUCUGGUUGCUGCCGCUUCUAUCUCCAUCACUUUGAAUAUCGGUUAGGAUUGUUAUUUUCUAGUGAAAAUUGUAAGUAGAGCUGAUCUCAAUCACAGUUCAUCCUCCAUUAAUAGAGGCUUCAAUGAAUGAAUCAAGCUACAGAAGAGAGGAUGGAUAUCAGAGAGAACAAUGAGUGAAAAAGCUUCUAGUAUAUUGAAAAGCAUAUGUAAAAUUUUAUAUACAUCACACACACACACACAGACACACACACACACAUAUAUAUACAUAUAUAUAUAUAUAUAUACAUAUAUAUAUAUAUACAUACAUAUAUAUAUAUAUANNNNNNNNNNNNNNNNNNNNNNNNNNNNNNNNNNNNNNNNNNNNNNNNNNNNNNNNNNNNNNNNNNNNNNNNNNNNNNNNNNNNNNNNNNNNNNNNNNNNNNNNNNNNNNNNNNNNNNNNNNNNNNNNNNNNNNNNNNNNNNNNNNNNNNNNNUAUGUAUAUAUAUAUAUAUACGCACACAAUCCCCACUAACUUAAUCUCCCAAUACACUAGUGCUAACUACUUUAACUAACUGGUGACAGCUGGCUGACUACCCCCACAAAUUUAUCCAGCUAUCACACUCCUUCACAGUCUCUCACAAAAAUCAAAUCGAGCCGAGCUUAAUUAGUUUGGAUUUAGAUUGUAAUAUUCUUAAUGUAGUGUGUGCAAGCUAAUUCGAAUAUGACGUCCUAUGUUUUUACAAGGAAAAAAUCAGGUUAGUUAUAGGAAACUUUCCAAAGCCGGAGACACUAAUGAUUAUGUACUCCUUCAGAAUUUGGGACGUAAAAUAAAGACUUAAGUUGUUUGUACAAUGAGAUCAAAUGAGAUAUUUGUAUUUAUACUCGAUUUUGGGUUACAUUUUAAUUUGUGCCCGCUUUGAAAAAAAUUAAAAGCGUACUCACUUUUUCGCAUAACUUCAGCAUACGGGGCUGAAGUAGCGAAGGCAAUCACGCAAAACUUUAGCAUUUUAGAAGACGGAACUGAAGUAGCAAGUGCGCUGAAGUUUUUAUUUGUAAUUGCUGAAGUUUUUACUUUUGUAACUGACAAACUUUAGCUCUAGAGCUUAAGUUUUUGUUUUGUAACUGGUGAACUUCAACUUUAAAGCUGAAAUUUUUAUUUUGUAACUGUCAAACUUCAGCUCUAGAGCUAAAGUUUUUGUUUAUAACUAGCAAACUUCAGCUUUUGAGCUGAAGUUGUUGUUUGUAACUAGCGAACUUCAGCCUUCUUAGAGUUGAAGUUUUAAUUAACUUUCGAUAUGAAAAUUUGUGAAGAAGAACAAGAUUCUUAGCUGUACAAGAGUGAAGUAGGAAAACAUUGGCACUUAAUUCACCCAUAAGUUCAAAAGGCAUUUCAUACAAUACAAUGUAAUAACUUAAUGCAUGAAAUCUUUUUUGCUUUUUUUUCUUGAGAAGGAUGAUGAGAAUCAGUCUUCUUCUUUUCCAUGUUGUUCAAGAGUAAUUUUCUUGCUUCAUAAUUGUGUGCACAACAGAUUACUAAAAAAAGUAAAACCAAUGAAACACACGAUAAAUCAAGCUAUUAUAUUGUUACAUCAAUGUUAAGUUUCGGAGAGACGUGGAGAUCACUGAGAGAAGGAGGAGGAUAAAGGGGGCUGAUAUUAUUUAAAAAUGGGUACAAGUUAAAACUUUUUAAAAAAAGGAGUAUACGUUAAAUUGGGGCGACAAAAUAGGACGCCCCGUGUAAUUUUUACUAUCAAAUAUCUGAAUAGCACUUUAAUUAACCAGCAUUAUUGUAUUUGGCAAAUUUGGUUCCCUACGCCCAUAUAUUAUCCACAUACAUUCUCACUGAAGAAAGCGGCCUUAUUAUGGUCGACUCAAGUAAGGCUGACCUCAGUUAAUAAACAGACCGAGUGACAUGACUCUCUACAACGUCCCAUCAAGCUCUGACACUCGUAUACUGAGGCCACCAACCCUUGUACUUUCUUUGUAUUAUUUCAAGGAAGGUCCCUUAGUAUAUAAAGGGGACCUUCCCAUUGUAAAGACUGAUGUGUAUUUCACUAUUGAAAAUAUACAACUCUCUCUCUCUAUCUGAUUCUCUAUCUCUCUCUCUCUUGUUCAAAAAUCCACUAUUUAUCUUAUUGCUCUUAUAUCUCGAUUCAUUAACAUUAUAAUCACAUAUCUUGAUCAUUUUACAUUCUCUAGAUCACAUUACUCUUGAUUCCGAUUAACCCAAAUCAUUUUUUGAUUGUUUUAGAGUUAUUUAAGCAUACGAAUAACUUUUUAGCCAACAAUUUGGCGCCGUCUGUGAGGAUCUCGAGAAUCGAAGCUGUAGUUUAUUUCUAGAGAUCCUUCGAAAAACCACUCUCUACAACCUAAAAUGGUUGAGAACAACGCAAGAAUGAAAGCUAUCUUCGAGGUUAGAACAGAUCUCACAGACACUCUCAAUGCGGCUGCUGAAGGAGAUGCCCUACAGACAACCCCCAGUACCUUGAUAGGCGUGGAAGCCCUACCUUCCUCAUCGGAAGAUCGGGCGGUUCCACGAGAAAGAGAAGCUUCAAAAUCUACAAAUAAGGAAGCACCAUCAGAGGUAAAAAGAUAACUAGAAGAGUGGCUGAAAAACACUCUGAGCAGUCUAGCUAAGAAGCCGCCUGAAAAUGAUAGAUGCACCCCAACAACAAAUCAUGUCGCUGCCGAGGAUGAGCUCGAGGUCACGAGAACGAACAACGUGUCCGUUGAUGUUCAAGAUAACGAAGGCACACUCACGGCCAUCCUAAAAAAUAUGGAAGAAAUCGAAAACGAGAAUAGGUCACUUCGCGACCAGAUGAAGGAGCACCAAGAAAGGGUGGAUAAAAUCCCAGGUGCGCCUAAGUUACUACCAAAGCGAGACAUGGGAGGUUCGCUGAACAACCCUACAUGGAAGGAGCCGCGCCAUACCCCAUCCCGAAACCUUCAAGAUGCCCCCCUACUUGAAGGUAUAUGACGGGACCACCGGAUCCACUAUGUCACAGCCGUCAAAGGCAACGAUCUAUCAAAAGAAUAGGUACCAUCCGUACUUCUGAAGAAGUUCGGUGAAACUCUAACAGGAGGGGCCUUAACUUGGUACUCACAGCUAUCGGCCAAAAGCAUCUCCACAUUCGAGGAGAUGGCAGAUAAACUUGCCACCGCCCAUCCAGGGGCAAGGAAAGCGGAAGCACGAGUCAAUGAAAUUUUUGCUGUGCGACAGACCCCAGGAGAAGGACUGCGAGAGUUCCUAGAUAGGUUCAACGGGGUCAAGAUGAUCCUAUCAAACGUGUCCGAAGGCAUGGCAGUUGCGGCCUUUCAGAACAGGCUCAACAGAGACGGCUCGAGGGCAACCAAGAAACUACUCAACCGUCUCCUGAAAUAUCCCCCCACCACUCGAGAAGAGAUACACAACGCCUAUUGCGCCGAGGUACAUGGGUACGACGACGACCUUAAUAGCCCAACCUGGCGGUUGAUGACGGUGCACCCAGAAAUCCGAAGGGACCGGUGCAGCGAGGGAAGGCGGGAGCAAGUCCCACGCCUCAAUAGGAAAGACACCAACCAUACAUCAGGUCCUCGCAUCUGCCACCACCGAGGCAUGCAGACGCCUUACAACGACAUAUCGUCCCGCUAAGGAACGACAGAGGUUUGCCCCCUUCAUUAUCUACACAUAACUUUUGUGUAUCUCCUUCAGAAGUAGUGUAUGCACUGGAGAAGCUGGGCAACAAAGUACAAUGUCCAGCAAAGAUGAAAUCUUACCCCGCCACCAGAAAGUCAAAUGCCCUGUGCAAGUUCCACCAAGAACGGGGAGACAGAACGGAGGACUGCAUAGGUCUCCGACAGGAGGUGGUCCGAAUGCUGAGCCAAGGGUUCUUGAAAGAACUGCUCAGGGACAAAGGAAAGCAAAACCGCACGCGGGCGGGAACAACCCCCUGGCUUGCCAAGGCCGCCCUCACCAACUCGCACAAUCAAUAUGAUCAUCAGAGACGGAAAUGAUUCGGCAAUCAAUCAUGUCAAAUUCACCACAAGCCACAAGCUAAAGCGAACCAUCGCCCAUGAACGGUAUGACGACUUCGAAGAUAGUAUCACCUUCAAUAAGUCUGAUGGUGACAGUUUGUGUUUUCCUCACUAUGAUGCCUUAGUUAUUACUUUACGCAUAAUACAUACUGAUGUUAAUAUUAUCAUGGUCGACGAUGGAAGCGGCGCAUGCAUAAUUCAUCCAAGGGUCCUUGCACUCAUGGGACUCGAGGAUAAAAUAAUUCCACGCUCAUAACACUAACAGGUUUUAAUAAUGCAGUGGAAAGAACCUCAGGCGAGGUGACGCUACCCAUUCUGGCAGGAGGAGUCACGAUGGAAACUACUUUCCAUGAAAUGAACCAAGAAACGGCAUACAACGCCAUUAUCGGACGCCCAUGGAUACAUGCCAUGAGAGUCUUCCCCUCCAGUUUCUAUCAAGUAAUCAAUUUCCCAACCCCAUGGGGAGUGCACAUCAUACGGGUAGAGCCCCGUACCGCCCAAGAAUGCUGUAAAAUAGCUCAGGAAUACACGCACACCAAACAACUCAAGGGGGCAAGUGCUGAAGCAUAGCAAGCAGCCCUGUGGGGGACUAAGGUCCACUCGACAGAGAACGCCAUCAAAGAUCCUGAGGACGUCGAGGCUAGCAAGGCUACAGUCGAAGACCCCGGCCCCGUCCAGUUAAACAACAGCGACCCCGCAAAGAAAGCUUACAUAGGCCACGGCUUAUUAAAUAUAGGUCAAUACCGUGAAUUUUUAGCUAACCAUGCAGACCUAUUCGCUUUUUCCCAUGCAGAUAUGCCGGGAAUUCCAUGAGAAAUUGCCUCUCACAAACUCAACGUCGACCCAUUGCACCCGCCCGUGCGACAUGUAAGAAGAAAAUUCAACACCGCCAUCAACGAAGCGGUGAGUGAAGAAGUAGACAAACUGCUAGCUAAUGGCUCCAUCAGGGAAUCCAAGUACCCGAAAUGCGUUGCCAACGUCGUAAUGGUCAACAAGAAAAAUGGGAAGUGGCGAAUGUGUGUAGAUUUCAACGAUCUAAAUAAAGCAUGUCCAAACAACUCGUUCCCGCUACCCCACAUCGACCAGCUGAUAGACACAACGGCAGGACAUGAGCUGCUAAGCUUCCUUGAUGCGUAUUCCGGCUACAAUCAGAUUAUGAUGGCCGAAGAAGAUCAGGAGAAGACAACUUUCAUCACCCAUCUAGGGACGUAUUUCCAUAAAGUAAUGCCCUUCGGGCUGAAGAACGCAGGGGACACUUACCAAAGGCUGGUGACGGCAAUGUUCAAAGAACAACUCCGCAAAAUGAUGGAGAUCUACAUCAACGACAUGUUAGUCAAAUCAUCAAAAAAGGAAGACCACCUCAUCCACCUGAAGGAAGCCUACGAAAUAUUAUGGAAGUACGGCAUGAAGUUGAAUCCCAAAAAAUGCAUUUUUAGAGUAUCCUCGGGAAAGUUCCUGGAUUUCUGGUAUCACAAAGGGGCAUCGAAGUCAAUCCCGACCAGAUCAAGGCCAUAGAAGCCAUCCCAGAAAUGCUAAGUAGCAAAAAGCAAGUGCAGAAGCUGAGGGUCGGAUAGCCGCCCUCUCCAGGUUCAUCUCACGCUCCUCCGACAGGUGCCACAAAUUCUUCGGUGUAUUGAAGAAAGACCAGGGACUGCAGUGGAACAUAGAAUGUGUAGAAGCUCUGAAGAGCUUGAAAGCGUACUUAUCAUCACCACCCCUACUGGUGAAAGCCAAACCAAGCGAGCCGCUAUUGAUAUAUUUGGCCGUAUCAGAAGUCGCAGCCAGCGUCGUCCAGGUGCGCAAAAAUAAAGGUACACAAUCUCCUAUCUAUUAUAUUAGCAAAACUUUAGUGGAUGCCGAAACCCGGUACCCUCACCUUGAGAGGCUGGCGUUAGCACUCAUAGUAGCUUCACGAAAGCUACGACCAUAUUUCCAAUGGCAACCCAUAAGGGUAGUAAAAACCUUCCCCCUAAGAAGCGUGCUACACAAACCCGAACUCUCAGUGCGACUCGCCAUAUGGGCCGUUGAGCUCAGCAAGCAUGAUAUUCCCAUAAGGGUAGUAACGACCUUCCUUCUAAGAAGCGUCCUACACAAACCCGAACUCUCAGGGCGACUCGCCAUAUGGGCCGUUGAGCUCAGAGAGCAUGCUAUUAUGUUCCUCCCAACGACUGCCAUCAAGUCGCUAGUCCUAGCUGACUUUAUCGUCGUAUUCAGCGUGGAAGUCCUUCCAAAGGCAGAACUCGAGGCACAACACGCAGCCUCCAAAAAAAUGACCUAUGGGUCCUUUAUACGGAUGGCGUCGCCAAUGCAUCAGGAUCGGGACUGGGACUCUUUCUUGAGGUCCCCACGGGUGAAAAAAUUUGCCAGUCUAUACGAUGCCCGGAAAUUACUAACAACGAGGCCGAGUACGAGGCCGUUAUUGCAGGCAUGAAACUGGCCUCCAAGUAUGGGGCUCGCCCAAUUCUCCUCCACUGCGACUCCCAGCUUGUGGUAAACCAGAUCACUGGGACUUAUCAAAUCAAAGAACAGAGGUUACAAAAGUACCAGUCAGAAAUCCACAAGCUGAUGGCUACAUUCGACGAAUGCCACUUCGAACGAAUUCCCAGAGAACGGAAUAUCGAAGCAGACGGCAUGGCAAAGUUGGUUGCCGCCACCAAAAACAUCAAAAAAGAAAGUGUGGUCACACUCCUCCACUUAGCUAUUGAUCACACCGAGGUACUUUCCUUAAACAUGACUUGGGACUGGCGCAACCAGUUCGUAUCUUAUUUGUAGGACGGGAUACUAACCCCCGAUAAAAAAGAGGCGAAAAAGCUUCGCGUACAGGCUGCCCGAUACAGCAUCAUCAACGACGACCUUUGUAAAAGGACGUCCAGUGGCACCUUAGCCAAGUGCUUAGGGCCGCAACAAGCAAGACCAGUACUCGAAGAAGUACACGAAGGCCAUUGCGGAUCCCACACUGGAAACCGCGCCCUCAUUAGGUGCAUCAUACGCGCCGGAUACUACUGGCCCACCAUGAAGAAAGAGGCAGCCGAGUAUGUCCGCCGAUGCGAGCAAUACCAAAGGUUCGCCCCAAUGAUACACCAACCAGGAGAACCCCUCCAGUCUGUCACCUCCCCCUGGCCAUUCAUCAAGUAGGGAAUGGAUAUAGUCGGCCCGCUACCCUCAGGACGAGGAAAGGUAUGAUUUUUACUUGUUUUAACUGACUACUUCUCCAAGUGGGUUGAAGCAGGUGCGUACACAUAAAUACGCGAACAAGAAGUCAUCACCUUCAUUUGGAGGAACAACAUAUGACGUUUCGGCAUCCCCAAAGAAAUCAGCUGCAAUAAUGGGCGCCAGUUCAUUGGUCAGAAAACGACCGAGUUCUUCGAUAAAUGGCGCAUCAAAAGGAUACUAUCCACGCCAUACCAUCCUGCCGCCAACGGUCAAGCGGAGUCCUCCAACAAAACAAUUCUAAACAUACUCAAAAAGAAGCUCGACCACACCAUACCAUCCCGCCGCCAACGUCCAAGCAGAGUCCUCCAACAAAAUAAUUCUAAACAUACUCAAAAAGAAGCUCGAAGACGCCAAGGGGCUAUGGCCGGAACUACUACCCGAAGUCUUGUGGGCGCACAGAACCACACCCAAGUCUAGCACCGGGGAAACCCCCUACUCACUGGUUUAUGGAACCGACGCGGUCAUACCUAUUGAAGUAGGCAAACCAGCCUAAGGUAUUCACACACCAUCGGGAUAGAAAAUGAUAUGAGCAGGCUCCAAGAUCUUGAUGAAAACAAAGAAAGAAGAGAAAUGACCCACACCAGGAUGGUAGCCCAAAAACAACCAAUCGAAAGAUACUACAACAAAAGGGCAAAAAUAAGGCCACCAAAAGUAGGGGAUUACGUCCUCAAAGCUAAGACUCUGGCCUCAAAAGACCCAAGUGAAGGGAAAUUGGGAACAAACUGGGAUGGGCCCUACAAAAUUGCAGCGGCGGCCGGGAAAUGAGCAUUCCAGCUUGAGACAAUGGAAGGAAAGACACUCCAGAACAACUGGAACAUCACUCACCUCAAACAUUUCCACUUCUAAAAAGGUGUCACCUGAGUCGUACUCUUUGUCCCUUACCCGAGUAUUGUCCCAAUUGGGUUUUCUGGGGAAAGUUUUUAACGAGGCGACAAAGGGGUCACCUGGAGAUGUUUGCAGCACAAGUGCAUCAUAUCCGCCUCUCCAUUAACUCUCCAAGCCAGACAUGAUACAGGGACUGGAUUAGUGUCAUCUCCAGAUGUAUAGAAAGGCUCCAGAUGUAUAGAAAGGCUACAGCCAUCUCCAGAUGUAUAGAAAGGCUACGGCCAUCUCCAGAUGUAUAGAAAGGCUACAGCCUUCUCCAAAUAAAUAGAGCCAUCUCCAGAUGUAUAGAAAGGCUACGUCCAUCUCCAGAUGUAUAGAAAGGCUACGACCAUCUCCAAAUGUAUGAAAAGUCUACGACCAUCUCCAAAUCAAUGAAAAGGCUACAGCCAUCUCCACAUGAAUGGAAAGGCUACGGCCAUCUCCAAAUGAAUGAAAAGGCUACGGCCAUAUCCAAAUGAAUAAAAGGCUACGGCCAUCUCCAAAUGAAUGAAAAGGCUACGGCUAUCUCCAAAUGAAUGAAAAGGCUACAGCCAUUUCCAAAUGAACAAAAAGGCUACAACCAUUAUUUUAUAUGGCUAAGGCCAUCAGGAUAAGGCCAUUAUUUCACAUGGCUAUGGCCAUCGCUUUCAAAAGGCUACGGCCAUUAUUUUAUAUGGCUAAGGCCAUCAAGAUAAGGCCAUUAUUUCACAUGGAUAUGGCCAUCGUUUUUCAUAAGGCUACGACCAUUAUUUUAUAUGGCUAAGGCCAUCAGGCUACGCCCAUUAUUUCACAUGGCUAUGGCCAUUAUUUUAUAUGGUUAUGGCCAUUAUUUUAUAUGGCUAAGGCCAUCAGGGUACGGCCAUUAUUUCACAUGGCUAUGGCCAUCGUUUUUCAUAAGGCUACGACCAUUAUUUUAUACGGCUAAGGCCAUCUGGCUACAACCAUUAUUUUACAUGGCUAUGGCCAUCGUUUUCACCAGGCUACGGCCAUAAUAUUAUAUGGCUAAUGCCAUCAGGCUACGACCAUUAUUUCACAUGGCUAUGGCUAUCGUUUUCAUCAGGCUACGGCCAUUAUUUUAUAUUGCUAAGGCCAUCAGGCUAAUGCCAUUAUUUCACAUGGCUACGGCCAUCGUUUUUCAUAAGGCUACGACCAUUAUUUUAUAUGGCUAAGGCCAUCAGGCUACGGCCAUUAUUCCACACGGCUAUGGACAUUGUUUUUCAUAAUGCUACGGCCAUUAUUUUAUAUGGCUAAGGCCAUCAGGCUACGACCAUUAUUUUACAUGGCUAUGGCCAUCGUUUUCAUAACGCCACGGCCAUUAUUUUACAUGGCUAUGGACAUUGUUUUCAUAAGGCUACGGCCAUUACUUUACAUGGCUAUGGCCAUCGUUUUCAUCAGGCUACGGCCAGAUUUUACAUGGCUAAGGCCAUCAUAUUUAAACGACUAGGGGCAUCGGAUUUUAUAAGGCUAAGGCCAUCCUUUCUACACGCCUAGGGCCGUCGACUUAUGAAAAGCUACGGCUGUUGUUUUACACGGCUACCACCAUUGAGUUCUACGCAGCUACGGUAAAAAAUAAAACAGCGUGCCAAAAGUAGAAAAGAUUACUUACAACAAAAAUUGUAUGUCUUUAUCAAAAGGGUCAAACACCCAUGAUACAAAAAUCAGUAUUUAUAGGCAUACAUACAAGGAUCCUAACAGUCCACUACUUAUCCUGCCCAGCCUGGCCCUCAGGUGGCCCGUCCUCAUUUCUAGGAGGGUACGCCUUAGAAAUCCAGGAGCUGGAUUCCAAAUGAUUAACAUCUGCAUAGUUGCCCCCCCUCCCGGGCCAACGAUUUAGGACUAUAACCGGUCAGUUCACGAGCGACUCUAACCAACUAGCGCUAGAUCUAAACUUCCGCUUCAAAUGCUCGACCAGCCGCCAGGAAUUCCUCAAGCAUGACCAGCCUGUCCUCCGCAUACACUCACAUCUCGUGUGCUUCAAGAGACGUAUCGGCCUGUGCAAGAGCUCUCUUGAGCUCCUCGACCUUGGCCUUCGUGGCAUUAAGUUCCGCCGUUAAAGCUGCAACCCGGGUGCGUAAUUCUGCCGCUUCCUCCGCCACUACACGGCUAAGCUGAAGCUCCUCGUCCUUGGCCUGAAUAAGGACCUCCAUCUCCGCGGCCCGAGCAACAGCGGCCAUGAGUUGUUCAUCAACUUUCUCCAGCUCGGCCACUCUUCAACUGCUCCUCGGACUCCACGAGGCCCUCACAAACCACCCUAAAAUUAGGGUCCUACUUAUACAUAUCGGCCAAGGUCUGGUGUGCCUCGCGCGUCUUAUUAUACUUCUACACCAGCCUAUUGUAUCUGGCUGUCUUCUCCUUCUAGCGCUGAUCCAUCUCCGCCUCUAGAACAAGAGUCUGUAAAAGAAACUAAAUAAGUACGAGGAAAAUCAUCCCCUGCUAACACAAAAUAAAGGUCAUCGAGCAAGGAAAAGGCAUACCUGUAUGGCCGCACCUGCCAUCCUUUGGGCCAAGACCUUGUCGCUAAGUUCCGCCAGGGUCGCACGCUCGGCAUCGGCACACAAUAGCGUCAUACUGACGGCCGCCUCCUCACAGUUUUCCAACAAAUUAUAGUGACUUGGAAUCACCAUGCGACGAGAAGACUGGCCGGCCACCAUCUCCACCCGGUCCAAGGACCCACCUCCUCUGCUCCUUCUCUCCGUGGCCUCUGUGGCUGCCCCCGGGACCACCUCGUCCACACCCUCGUUCCCUCUCUCCAUGGCCUCUCUCCUAAGAAAGGACCUCCCUGAGCGAAUGGCCUCUACUAUAAACACCGGCCUUGAUUCAGGGCGAGGUGGCUUAGCCUUCCCCGUCUGAGUAGCCACACCUUGCCGGUAAGAAUCCGACGCUGCCUCAUCUUCAAUGUCUCCUCCUCUUCACGGUCCCCCUCCGUGGGAUGCAGAGCGGGCUCAGAGGGAGUCGGUUCAGCAAUAGAGGUCCCUACGGGGCCAAUCUCAGGAAUAGCCACCGGCAUCUCCAUGGGUGUUGUCUCGGGUACGACCCCCGGCAUAGCCUCAGGUGCUAUCUCUGGAGCCGCUUCUAAUCUAACCUCUUGUCUUGAAGGGGGCGAAGUACUGCCCCUAGACAUGCCAACGAAGACUAAAUCCUCCUCAGGAUCAGAUACCGCCCUAGAAGGACCGCCACGGUCUUCUUCUUCUGCUUCUUCUUCUUCUGCGCCUUCUUAGAGGCAUCCCAGCCUGCCAAAACAUGUAUGAGACGGGCAAGAAAAUUAUGGGAGCCUCCAAACCAUAAUAGAAAUUAGGAAAGACCAUUACCUCUCGGGCCAUAGAGCCUAAGAAUUCAGGCCAGGAACGGCACUCUUCUGCAAAUGGUAUCAACGCUUACACCCAUGACCUAAUGUCGUCAACCCUUCGAGGAGGGCGAGCCGCCAUUGCAUGAAAACAAAUGGAAAUUUUCGACGAUGAAAACCAGCAAAGUAAGGUCAAAGUAGUAAAAGUUGCGCACGGCAAUACUUACAUGCGUCAUUCCACACCUCUGGAAACCAUUCAGGGUUGGACACAAGGUGCUCGGUACGCACGUAGAAAAAUCUCGUCCAGAAUUUACGGUUGGCCUUGUCGUCCACCUUUGACACAAAGCUCUUCUUGCCUCAACUCCUCAACUGGAGCAUCGAGCCUCUCAUAAAAACCGCAUUUGAACAUUUGUAGAAGGUGAUGAGCAGUCACCUCUUUCCCAGCCUUCGCCGCAUAGAUGGAAAGUACCCUGCACACUUUCAAGGCUUACGGAGUUAGUUGGGCCGGGCACGCCCCGAACCAGCGACAGAGCUCCUCUGCCAAAGGGUAAAGCGGGAGGCUGUACCCAAUUCGAAAGGCGUACUCAUAAAAAGUGCUGUACCCGGUCUUAGGCACAUUGGCAUGGUCUUGCCCUGCAGGAACCAUGUCAACGUGAUCAGGAAUGUUAUACGAUUUCCUAAGAGAAACCAAGUGAGACGACAUCAACGCGCUGUGCUCCCAAGGAGGGAGUCUACACUUAUUCUUAAAAGCACUCUUUUUGCUCAUAUCGAGUGGAAGCAAGUUAGUCGCUGAUAGCGGAACAAAAACUUCCUCGGCCUCCUCAUCAUCUGAGGAUGACGAAGCCUUAUAGGAAGCAACGUCCUUGGUCCUGGUAUCAUCAUGACGACGUUUAGCCAUAGAAGAGGUUAUAAGAAAAAGGUGUCUCUGGUCGCAAGUUCGAUUCUUAAGAACGAGAAUUUCAGAGAAGAAAGAACAACAAGCACCAGAAAAAGAUAGGGAAAAUAAUCUCAGAAAAGGUUUGAAAGAUGAAUCCAGUUCAACUCUCCUCUAUUUAUAAGAAAAGGUACACAGAAAUCGAAAGAGCAUGAUUCGAAAACCGGUGCAGGAAAUCCAAACAUCACGUCAUAAUCUGAACCGCCUCGGGAGCAGAGGUAAUGAUCACGCACGUGAUCGAUGACGUCAUCUUAACUCCAAAAAGGAGGUAAUAUCUCAACGGCUUGACCUCUUCACAUAUGAGCACGUCUCUUAGAGGGGUAUCAACAGGAACGACCAAAUUUCCAUAGGCGUCGAGCAUGUUUGUCCGUCCAUUGCAGAUGCCUCUCGACUGUGUCCCCAAUAAACGGAGGGACUAUCUGUAUUGGGCAAAUUUGGUUCCCUACGCCCAUAUAUUAUCCACAUACGUUCUCACUAAAGAAACGGCCUUACUAUGGUCGACUCAAGUAAGGUCGGCCUCACUUAAUAAAUGGACCGAGUGACAUGACUCGCUGCAACGUCCCAUCAAGCUCUGACACUCGUAUACCGAGGCCACCAACCCUUGCACUUUCUUUAUAUUAUUUCGAGGAAGGUCCCUUAGUAUAUAAAGGGGACCUUCCCUUUGUAAAGACUGAUGUGUAUUUCACUAUUGAAAAUAUACAACUCUCUUUCUAUCUCUCUCUCUCUCUCUCUCUCUCUCUCUUGUGCAAAAAUCCACUAUUUAUCUUAUUGUUCUUAUAUCUCGAUUCAUUUACAUUAUAAUCACAUAUCUUGAUCAUUUUACAUUCUCUAAAUCACAUUACUCUUGAUUCCGAUUAACCCAAAUCAUUUUUUGAUUGCUUUAGAGCUAUUUAAGCAUACGAAUAACUUUUUAGCUAAACAAUUAUAAGAAUUUUUUAUAUGAAAAGUGUAAAAUAAGAAACAAUCAAGAGAAAGUCGAAAGCCAGUUUUAACUUUUGGUAGGGAAAAAAAAGAACAAGACUUUAGUUUUGGGAGGAACAACAAGCAAAAACAAAACUUUUGAAAAAAAUAUUUCCACAAUAUCUUUUUUUUUUAAUUAUUUCCACAAUAUCUUUUUUUUAAAAUUAAAAAAACAAAAGAUGUCCAUAGGUCAGUACCGCACACACUCUCUUCUUAAAAUUUCAGUUAAUUUUUUGCCCAUAUGUUUUUUUUUCUUUCACAGAAUUUUCAAUUCUUACUGAGUAUUCUUUUUAUCUAACUUAAAAAUAUCAUAAAAAUUGCAAUUUCAUGCACUGGGGAAAAAAAGGUGAAAUAAAGAAUGGAUCUUUCCCAUUUUCACAGCCAUUUUAAGGCAUUAAAUGCUUUGAAAUCUUAAACAAGUAUAAGCAUUAAAGAUUGGAGGUGCAAGAAAGAACUUUAAAAGAUCACAUGUUCUUCAUUAAUCCAAACCAAUUUACACCACAAUAACAAUCCCUUUACUGAACCCAUAGCCCAAAAUGCAACAAAAAGACCACUUUUUGGGGUUCAUUACUACGUACAGUGUCACACUACUUGAAAAUUAGAGAUCAACUAUUGUUAAAUUCACUUUCCGGGAACAAAGUUUGUGGCAUAAGCCCAGGCAUUGUUGUUAACUGGGUCUGCAAGGUGGUCCGCAAGGUUUUCCAACGGACCCUUUCCGGCGACGAUAGCUUGGACGAAGAAUCCAAACAUGGAGAACAUAGCAAGUCUACCAUUCUUGAUCUCCUUUACCUUGAGCUCAGCAAAAGCCUCUGGAUCUUCAGCAAGACCUAAUGGGUCGAAACUACCACCAGGGUAAAGUGGGUCAACAACCUCACCGAGAGGUCCACCAGCAACACGGUAACCCUCAACGGCUCCCAUCAACACAACUUGACAAGCCCAAAUGGCCAAGAUGCUUUGUGCGUGGACCAAACUUGAGUAGUCAAGCCCUCCCUCGCUGAAAAUCUGUGAUCCAGCCUUGAACAAUACAGCUUCAACGAACUUGACACCGUUACAAGCCAAGAGCUCAGGAAAACACAACCAAGAGCUCCAAGCAUGGCCCAUCUACAAUGGAUCACCUCCAACUCACGAUUCUUAGCAAAUGUUUCUGGAUAAGCUGAAAGUACAGCAGUGUCCCAUCAGUAAUCACCAGGAAACUCACCAGUCAAGUAGCUUGAGGACUCACCGGAGAAUGGGCCCAAGUACUUGACACGGUUAGGACCAUGGGCUACCAGAAGAGGCUGGCUUGGCUUUGCUAGCGGUCUUCCUCAUGGUAACUUUCCCAUUUCCGGUGCUUUUAGAGGAAGACGGUGAGAGUUUCACCGCCUUUCCGGAAAAAGAAGGGGAAGAAAGAGCCAUUGUAGCAGCUGCCAGGAAGAGGUAGGCUUGGCCUUGCUAGCAGUCUUCCUCAUGGUAACUUUCCCAUUUCCGGUGAUUUCAGAGGAAGACGGUGAGCUCACCGCCUUUCCGGCAAAAGAAGAGGAGGAGAGAGCCAUUGUAGUAGCAGCCAUGGUAUAAUAAGGAGAAAGAAGUGUUUUUUUAAUGGCUGAAUUAAUAGAGAAGUUAGCUGUGGU